rnacentral:lncRNA from 1 species
UUAUGAUGCAAUCACCUGAAAUUUUCCUCACUAUUCAGUGCCCAGAAUAUUAGUACUUUUGCAUAGUGGUCUAGAAUUAAACAUAUUCCAUAGGAAAACAUUGUGUAUCAUCAAGAUACUUAGGAGUAUAGUUAGGUAAUUGUAGAUUCUGGACUUAAUGGCCUUAUAUUGGAGGUGAAGGAUCCUGCUGGGUUUGGGGUCCUUCAUGUUCAUUCUGCUGAGUGGGUCCCUGGACCUCUGCCCCCAAAUCAUGCCCUUGCAGAACCAGGAAAUAAUAGUUAUGAGAACAAAGUGAGGGAAAUAAUUUCUUUUCAUUUGGAUAACAAAUGCAAAACCUGGCAGAAAUCAUUGCAGAAAAGUUUGUGAUUCAAUUUGGAGAACUGAGGAAGUUUUCGAAAUGUCACUUCAUAAGCAACCUUAUUUUUUUUAAUCCCAUAUGCUUCUCCUCCAUCCGCCAGCUACAGUAAUCAUUAUUGUCCUUCCUAGACUCUCAGACAGAAGCAGAGAAAAGAAAGUAUGUCUUUGCAUCUAGAAAGCUUAUUACUGAUUGAAAUAUCAUCUUUGGUAAGUCUGUUUUAUAGUCACUAAUUGAUAUUGUCGGCACAAAUGGAGGCGUCUUGUCAGGAAACCCGGCUUGUUUUCACAUCCAGUAUACUUAAAAUUGGCUCGUUCUUAGCUUCUCUCAUAGAAAACCUCCUAUUUUGAUUUAUGAAUGUUUUCAAUUUUUUAAGAUUCUCAGAAAUGUUGGUUCACCUGUAUGUAGAGAGAUAGCUUGUUUGGCUAACUGCCUUGAGUGACUGAGUGCCAGGUAAUGAAUAAUGCCACGUUCAAUAUUCUAAAUUUGUGUUCCAAAUUCUGAAUUCGGAAUGAGCCACAUGGAAGUACACUGAUAAGUGACUGAUUUUUACUCCCAGGAUUGUCUUAUUUUCAACUUUAAAAUUUACUUGCUUUACUUCACUGAAAGCGUUUUUGAAUGGGGGUAGGAAUUUAAAGUGAUACUCCACAAUAAAAUUUGUCUUUCUUUCCAAACUUCAGAAGUAACACUGAUGAAUUAAAGACAGGUAAAUUAGUAAAAUUCAUUUUUACAGACUGAAAAGUCCAGAUUCAUGCAGAGCUAUACACAUUAAGAAAAUAAUGUUAAACUUGAUAUGAUGGACAUUACCCAAAUAUUAAAAAAUGCCUCAUGAGGGCAGUCCUUCUUUGAAAAUAAACAUAGGUUGUUAUUUGACAGCAUUAAAAAACAUCAACCCUACAUUAUUCUUCAUAGACAAUCAGAGAAGUGGUCUUUAAAAUCAAUUAUGUGCAAAUAUUUGAGACACUUAAAUUUAAUAUUCAAAAUCUUCAGGUAUAGAAAAAACUUGCUUUCUCUCCUCCCUAUGUGCUAGAACAUAUCCUACAUCAGUUGAUUUCUUGGAUGUGUGUGCUAACCAGACAACAUUUUGUUGAAAGGUAUCAGUAUAAUAAAACUGAUUUUGAAUAAACAAGUAACAUCAGAGAUUGUAGAGGAGAAACACAACAGUUAACCUGGGCAAUUAAAAACACAAAGCCCUAAUCAUUUCCCAAGGUCAUCACUGACUGAACAAAUCUGUGACUGAAAGAAUAUUUCAAACAUGUUGUGACUUUGAAAAUUACAGGUUUUAUAAAUUAAUGAUAAGUUACUAAGGUGUUCUGAAAAUUGUUGCUUAUAAUCUGCUGAAGUAUUUUGUGCAUCUAUAUUAAUUAAUAACUCACAUCACUCAGGUUAGGGGCCUGGUAAGACAGAUCCAGCUGAAUAGUGAAAAGAUUUUCAAUAAACCAUUAAAAUACCUCCUAUAGCUUUAUAUAUAUGUAUAUAUAUAGAGAGAGAGAGAGAGAGAGAGAGAGAGAGAGAGAGAUAUCAGCAGCACAUUUGUUGGAUUAACGGAAAGAGGCACAAAGUAAACUAAACAACCACUCAAAGGAGCAUUGAAGCUUCUAGGUUAACGGAUGCCACACUUUACCUCAGUAUAUGCAUUUUUGCUCACAUUACCAGAGUGGAGAACUGUGUUGAAAAAUUAGGAGCAGUUGUCAAUUUUAAAGCAUGGCUCAUAUUGUUUUGCAAAGUGCAAAUUAGGUAGGUUCAACUUCAGAUGUGAACUGAAUCAAAUUUCUCACACAUUCCUAACUAGUACACCCCAAGACUGAAUGAUAUCGAUGCAUAAAAAUAUUGCCAUGCAUGUAGACAAGUAAGUGUCGGAAAGAAGGCUAGGACCCUUGUCUCUGAUAUCUAGUUUUCUUUGGGAUAUUUUUCUUCUAUGGUGGAAGCAUUCGCCAUGUGAGGCCCCAUGCUCUUCAGCCUACAGUGGUAGAACCCAGGCACAACUUCUGUGAAAGCUGGGUUUCUUUUUAGAUCCAGGAAGUUCUCUUUUCUGCCUGCUUACCACAUCUUCAAUUUAAAACACUCUUAUACCACUUUAACAAUCAUGGGUUCCUACAAAGAAUCCUGAGAACUAUAGUUUGUUAAAGGGUGCUGACCUCACAGACCCACAAUUCUAAGCAUCCUUAACAAACUACAGUUCCCACUAUAAUCCAUGACAGUUGAAGUGGUAUAAGAGUACUUUAAAUGUAUGGUGUGGAUGUGACCUCUGGCCACAUCUCCCAGCAAGCAGAGUUCCAAGUUCUGUUGAUUCUUGGCUAUAUAUGAUAUCUAAGAAUACCACACAGCUUUUAUAAUAUGGAUGGCAAACCUGUGUCCUUGUCAUGUGGUUGGAUGCUAGCUCCCAUCAGCCCUACCCAAAAUGGCCAGUGGCCAGGGGUGAUGGAAAUAAUAGUAUCUGGAGGGAACAGUUCUGGAUUCCUUCUCUACGAGCUAUGAGUUUGAAGCAGCAUAUAUUUCAGGCUCACUUUAAAAAAUCGUGGAGCAUCGGGAAAUAGCUUUAAAUGUUUAUGGAUACUGUGCCAUAUGGGGACUACCUCUUCAUGAGCUGAGACAGGCUGGAAUCAUACACUCUCCAUUUCUUCUUCAAUCCGUUUUACCAAUCUCAAAACUGAUUCUGAUAAACAGCAUCUGUUUACGCUCAAGAUGGCAGAAGAAAAAACUUAUGCUCUUUAUUUUAUUUGAAGAUUGUGCAUAAAUUGUGUUUUUAUUGCAGCUUAAGUAGGGUAUAUGAGGUUUCCAUUACUUUAGCAAUUAUGCUAAGCUGAUGAAAGCAAUGUAAAUAAUCCAACAACUGUUUAUGCAUUGUGUUAGUGUUAUAUGAACACUGCACUAACUCAGUGAAUUUAGAAUUUUACAAAGGUUAUUUCUUUCCUUUCUCUUUUUUUAAAAAUAGGGCAUAGUAAUCCCACUGUAUCAGUGGCUCUAUCCCCCUUUUUGAGUAGAGUUCUGCUAUCCCACAAAUUGGAUGGAAAUCUCAUUAGUGGAGCUAUAAUGAGCUGGCAACGAAGCCCCUUCAAGCUUGCGUGCUUACGGCCAUUUGCCUGUUUGUCUUACUCUUCAUCAUGAAUCUGAAAUUGCCCAUUAGGAUUGCAAUGAAGGGCGAGUCUGAAGCUGCGAUACUGACUGUGUCGCCAAACAGGCUAAAAUCAAACAAACCCAAAGGGAAGCUGCAAGGAUUUUGUGCUUUUGUGUCCUCGGGUCAGGCAGCAUCACAAUAUAUAUGAAAAGGAACAGAGAUAUGAUGAAGAAAAGGAGGGAUGGCAUCAAAAAAGGACUUCUGAGUGUAGAGUUGUGGUAUUUUGUUAUGUCUUUAUUCCGGAGCGAGUGAAGCUCACUUUGAAAGCAAUCUUAACAACAACCUGAUGCAGUUUAUUUUAACUGCAAGUGUAAUAUAGUGGCUAAGAGAAUGAGUACUAAUCCAGGAAUUUACCAGUUCAAAUUGUAGCAGCCAUAAAUUCAGUGUGUAACCUUAUGUGGUUCACUAUUAUUGCAGCCUUCUCAUCUGCAGUAUGGGAAUAGUGGUCCAUCAUGCACUGUUCUUGGACACAUUGCAUGAGUCAGGAAGUACACAUUUCCUGGCAAACAUGGGUCCUUACACUUUUGUGCCUUGAGUAUUGUGAACGGGGGGACAGGGAAGAAUUUCUGCGGAACAAUGGACAAUAGAGAGAUACAGGUGGUGACCAUUUUGCAUGCAUCCAAUUGACACACAACUGCCAACAUGCGCCUGGCUUUCGGCUCCAGAAGGGGGUGGAAUGGGGUGGCAGCAGAACGGGCUUAUGCACGACCACUGGUGUGCACAAGACCUAUAACACAACCCCUGUGCAAACAGGAAGUUGCCUGUACCAGUACUUCUGCCUAUUGCUUUCCCACUGCAAUUCCCCCCUUCAGCUGCUUUGUAAAAUUAAAAGAAGUGCAAAAUCUGAAAAAUAGCUAUGUUCUGAUGUGUGCUUUUGUCAAGGAGAUGCAAAUUACCGGUAGGUUGGUUAACUUAAAAAUGUGGAUCAAAGAUAACACUACCACCACCAUACUAAUACCAUAAUUACUAUCAUCAACAACUGUACCAUAUAUAAUGUGAUACAAUGCAGUAUAUAUAUUUAUUUAUUAUAACAAUAUCCUGCCUUUCUUCCACCAUGGAACUCAAGAAAGUGUACUUGCAGUUCCCUAACAAUCUCCUAUCAGGGCACUGACCAGUCUCAGACCUGCUAAGCUUCAGCAAUAUGGCUGCAUCCUGCGCCUUCAGUCCAUGCCCUAGGUAGAGAAUAUAUGAGGAAUAGCCUAGGUUUUAUAGCAGCACGCCCCCCCCCAAAAAAACACCCAUGCCCAGUUCAUCUGUUAAUUGCAAUAGUAUGGGAUUCACUUCCACAUGGUAAAUGGAGCAGACAUGCUGAGAUGGAGAAAUGAUAUUCCACCUCCCAAAUAAUUUAGGACAAGACCCAGGGAAGUGGCUCCCAUGUUGUAUUGGACUGUCAUGGAAGACUAUUGUUAUUUCGAGGAGAUUUAGGUGGUAUCCAGCAAUGCUCCUUUUGCAUCUAGAAAUCAUGUGGGCCUCUGGCCUUUAAAUGGUUAAUUCUGUUUCAAGCCUGCUAUUCACAGCUAGAUAUAUAGGCUUUGAUGGCACUGUGUGGGAUUCUUUAGCUCUGAUAUGCUGGCACCUGCAAAAGGGUGUGUCAGCUAGUCUUAGAAGUUGUCCAUGUUGACUGCCCGCCAAGUAGCCUUUCAUUUUGGUGAAGUAGCCUUUCAUUUUGAUGAGAAACUGAUGUGUUCCCACCCAAUGCCAGAUGCGGCUUACAUAAUUCCAACAAUAUAUAAGCCCUGAGAACACCUCUGUUGGUAGAAACUCUAUGCAAAUCUUUCUGGAGAGUGUUGCAUACUAGCCAGCUUCAGGAGUCAUGUCUAUUGAGAGAGCCAGUGUGGUGUAGUGGUUAAGAGCAGUGGACUCGUAAUCUGGUGAACUGGGUUCGAUUCCCCGCUCCUCCACAUGCAGCUGCAGGGUGACCUUGGGCUAGUCACACUUCUCUGAAGUCUCUCAGCCCCACUCACCUCACAGAGUGUUGUGCGGGAGGAAGGGAAAAGGAGAUUAUUAGCCGCUUUGAGACUCCUUAGGGUAGUGAUAAAGCGGGAUAUCAAAUCCAAACUCUUCUCUUCUUCUUAUUGCUGAUGGGAAUCCCAGCAGCCAGAAGGGCGUAAGAUAAUUUCAGUGCUUCAUAGUUUUCUUUGGGCUGUUUAAUAAAAUCUUUAGUGUUCACCCCAUUUGUGUCUUCGUUAUGCUCCAAAUCCAAAAAGAACCUCUGCUCUUCAGCAGAAAACAUGUUUCUACUGUGAUGCAUGGACUAAACCCAAGAUUAAAGCUGCCAAUAUGUAUGACAAUGCUUUGUAUAUCUCUCUUGUGGCAGCACCAACUUUACCUUCUGAGGUAAGGCAGGCAGUGACAGUGAUAUUUCAGUGCCUGCUAAAAUUGUAUUUGUUCUCUGAGGUCUUUUCUGGCUAUGGAGUGCUUUGUCCCAGCUUGUUGUUUUCUGUUGAAGUUAUUUCUUUCUCUCUGAGUCGUGGAUAUGGCUGAAUUUAUUGUUUUAAUUGGAUUUUUAAUGAUAAUGUAUUUUAAUGAUUUUUAUUAAUUGUGCACUGCCUUGGAACAUUCUGUGCAAGGCAGCAUAAAACAUUUUAAGUAAAUAAACUGUGUACAGGAUUGCAGUUUUAUUUAACAUACAUGAUACUGGAAAAGAGAAGGAAAGCAGAGGAACCAAAGAAAGAAUGAAUGAAAGGGGGUGAGUGGGAAUAGCAUUCUCAAAGCAAGAACUUAUUCUUGGCCUGUGGAAAAUGCAUCUUAUCUUUGGAGGUGGUGCCAGAACAGUAUUCUGAAUAAGACUGACAUUCUGCAAAAAAAGGGGGGGGGCUGGAAUCCACCUAGCUUCACUGUUCAUUGCAGAAUUUACAAAGAAGUAAAUCUACAACUUAGUUCUUUUCAUUUAUUGUCACCUGCACAGUAGUGAAAAAUAUCCUCAUCUUUUACCCACUUACCAACUACAUUUUUCCUUCCAGAAAAACUUCUGUGACAAGACUGUCCCACAAAAAUUAUGUUCUCAUUGAUAUGCUUUUGCAUCCAGCGUUAAGCUAAAUAAAUAUCCUUUCAGGGAUUUUCAAGCAAAAAACAAGAACUUCGACAAGUGCCCUGCUUCUGACACAGGCUUUGUAUUGGAACAUUUUACCACCCUCAAACACAUUUGAAUUGACUUGGCAUAGAAUUAUGCUCCAUAAAGCUAUAUAUUUCAGUUUCAUACUACCCAAUGUCAAUUUUCUACUACCUUGGAAGUCACAUAGUCCAAUUUUUAAUUUUCUUGGAAGAGGGCUAAUAUAUAUACUUUUUAAAAAAAUGAAAAUCAGAUAUCCAUUAGAAUAUUUCCUGCAAAUUGCAAAAGUGGCCAAAACACAGGCAGCACGCCUGGAAGGGAUGGAUGCAGAAAUAAAAGUAAAGAUAGAUUUCAUUCUCUAGAGAGAUGAAAAAGAAGCACCAUAGAAAGAAAGAAAUGUCCAGCUUUAUAAGGUGCAGACUAUUUUAAAUUUGAAGCUAGUUAAACCUACUGCUUCUUUAAAAAGCAAGUUGAUGAAAUAGAGUCCUUAAUAAAUAAUACAGCAAAAACAUCCUGGCAUUUUCAAAGGGAAAAAAGUGUAAAAUUUUGUAAAAAUGGAAAACUAAUGAUGUUUUCAAUAAAUCUUGUUUAGAAAAGGUUAUUUUUGUUUACGCUUAAGUUACCAAAACAAGUUUCUAAGGUGCAGGAAAUAGCUAAAGAAAAAAGAAGAAAAUAUGAACAAGAAAUAAUGCUGAGUAAAAAGAUUUUUCAUAUUUAAUGUUGAUUCUACUGUAAAAUAACAAUAAUAAAUAUUUAAAAUAGAUAAUGAAUAACAAUUACAGUUUUUAAAAAGUAUGUGAUGUUAUGAAGUAGGAAAUUGUUCUAAUACUGAUUUUAUUUAAUCAUAGAAUUAAGUAAGCAGUGCUUUUUAAAACCGAAAGGAAUGUGUUUCAAAAUAAAAAAGGGUGGGUUUUAAUAAGUAAAAGAUGAGUUUCCUAAAAUCACUGUGAUAUUAUUUUACAGGUUUCCACUUGUUACACCUUAAUCAUGAGCCAAAGAUUGCCACACUCUAAUGUAAACAGAUGAGAGUGCAUCCAGACUAUCAUUAUUUUGUGGUAGGAUGGAAACUUUGAAAGCUUGCAAAAUUAAGUCGAUUAAAGUGUUCUGUUAGCACACAAAUAAAUAAAAAACCACAAGAAUUUUGUAGUUAGAAAGUGAUGGGGAAAUACACCAAAAUGUGGGGGAUAAAUGGUUGAUUAAGCACCAUGAAUGCUUAUUGUCAUAUAACCACACCAUAAACAAAUUAGAACAAAUGGUCAUUAAAGUUUGGACAUGAUAUCCUAACCACUGCAUAAGCUUGGUGCAAGAAAGUCAGAAUGAAUGCUCAGUGAACAUGAUGUUUACACCUAAGUUUCCUGACCACUGGAUUCAGGGAUGCUCUAAUGGGGAAGAGGCAAACAUCUGUUUCUAAGCUUGUGCCAUUCAUAUGAGAUGAAUGUUUGUGUACUGAAUAGUUCAGUCUCAUCCUAGCAUUCCAGCCAUCUGCACAUGUUGAUUGAUACUUCCCAUGCACGGGUAAUAGAGAGGUGUCUCAUCCAACCACAUCAUGAAUGGUGGUGUGUGUUUGUCUCUCUCUCUCUCUCUCUCUCUCUCUCUCUCACACACACACACACACACACACACACACGUUGCCAAAUAAGCAGUUAAUGUGGCUCUUGCUGUGCUUUUAUCCCUGCUACUGGGAAUGCAUAGUAGGAUCACAACCACUACUAUCAUUAGCUCUGAUGAAGAGGCUGCUGCCAUAAAACCAGGCUAGCCAUUUGAAGCAGUCCAAUGAAUCAGUGUUACCUAUAUUCUGGAUAUUUCUUUCUGUGAUUCUUAAAAUGUUACACUUUGCUAUGAAGCUAGGGAAAAGAAGAAAUGUUUCAAAGUUAGAAGAGGAAAUUUGAGAAUGUUGCAAGUGAUGUGGAUUCUGAUUUGGGCAGUUGUUGAUGCCUAAAACAAUCCAGAUUCACUCAAUGAAUGUGCAAUGGGACAUUUGUUUCAUGCUAACUCAGUUUAAACCUCUUCCAUUCUCUCUCAUAGUGAAUGAACACAAAUUAUUUAUUAUUUUAUUUAUCCAUCACAUUUGAAUCCCUCCAAAGUGUUUUAUGAAAUGGUGAUUGCAAACAAAUAACCAAUGUUGCAGACAAGUUGAACUAUGACAUUGUAGAUAAAGGGGUAAUAUUUACUGCUUCUCCCCCACCUUCCUCUGCCUUGUUACUUUAACACAUUACAUGUUAUAAUGUAAUCUAUGAGAUAGAAACAAUACUAGGAGUCCUAAUUAAAUUAAAAGUAAUUACCACUCGUACAGAUACGGCAUUCAAUUGAGCAGCUGCAAGUUGAUAUUUUGUCAUGCCCAGUUUAUCUAUAUGCAUGUGCCUGAUUCUUUGUAUCAGUUAUUAAUGGUGUUUACGGAGUGGCCAAGAACGAUGGAGGGGAAAUGGGAAUAAGAAAACAAGGGGACUUAUUUUUUAAAAAGAAAAGAAAAAGGAGAGGAUUAGAAGAGUGUUAGAGAUGAUUAAUACUGCUUUUCUGUUAGGAUUUUGACAUGGUAUUUAGAAGUGAUCUCUUGAUUUUCGAAUGAGCUGAUACAUUAUUUGUGUCUUUGGGAGUUAAUAACUCCACAUAACUGAUUUACACCACAAAUCAAUGCAUGUCUACUCAGAAGUAAGUCUCACUGAAUUCAGUGGGGCUUACAACUAUGUAAGUACAAUCCUAUAUGUAUUGUCUCACACCACCCAAAUCUCCGAGCGGUGCAAGAUACCGGGGGUUCCAGGCAGUUACCCAGGGUUCAGUUUCCUCAGAAUGAGGAACAGCGGAGACUGUGGUGUCUUUGUGAUCUAUGGUUUAUUUACACAUUUAUACAAACUGAGCCUAUAACGGAAGGGCUCACAGCAUUAACACCCCAAUAAGGUAUUCCUUCUCCCAUAGCCACAGCCUUGGAUUCAAGCAGAAAUCAAGCAUGUCUCUCCUUCACAGGCUUCAACCUGCCGCCCCUUUUAGCUUCUAGCUCAGGCAUAGGCAAAAUCGGCCCUCCAGAUGUUUUGGGACCGCAACUCCCAUCAUCCCUAGCUAACAGGACCAGUGGUCAGGGAUGAUGCGAGUUGUAGUCCCAAAACAUCUGGAGGGCUGAGUUUGCCUAUGCCUGUUCUAGCUCAUACACCUCAACUCCACUCUGGCUUAUGUCUGAACUGCAGAUGACGCAUGCAGAAAUGCUACCCAUAGAAGUGAAUGGCAUUGUGGAUACAGUUGUCACCACUGUGGUACAAUGAACAGUACGUAUUUCUACAAAUCACAGCAAUUAUUUCUAACUUUGCAUCUGUACAUAAAAUUAUCAUGUGCAAAUUUUAUGCACAUCCAUGUCCAGUUUUGUGGGGAUGGGCUUCUUCUUUUGGGGCAGUGUGUAAUUGGUCACCAUAGCAAUGCACUACUCCAAAGCAGACCAGUGGCACUGAGGUACUACUUUUAAUGUGUCAAUGAAUCACUUCUCCAUUAACAGCAAUGAUGAAGAGGGGAGCUGUAGAUCAAAUCCUGACCAGAUUCUCCACUACUUGUCUAUAUGGGUGGCUGAGAUUCCUCAUUGGCACUUUGACUUCUUACAUUUGAAUAAGCUGAAUUCCAGCCUGAUAGCUCAGUUGGUAGAGCAUGAAACUCUGGCCAUGGGUUCAAGAACCAACAUUGGGCAAAAAAUUCCUGAAUUGCAGGGGCUUGGACUAGAUGACCCUCACAGUCCCUUCCAGCUCCACAACUCUAUUAUUCCAUGGAGACAUGUCUUUUUUUAAACAUGCUUUUCAAGAAAAUAGGUAAAAUUUCAUAUAUUAAAAUGUUAAUAAAGGUAAAGGGUAAAGGGACCCCUGACCAUUAGAUCCAGUUGUGGCCGACUCUGGGAUUGUGGUGCUCAUUUCGCUUUAUUGGCCGAGGGAGCCGGUGUACAGUUUCCGGGUCAUGUGGCUAGCAUGACUAAGCCGCUUCUGGCGAACCAGAGCAGUGCAUGGAAAUGCCAUUUACCUUCCCGCCGGAGCGGUACCUAUUUAUCUACUUGCACUUUGACGUGCUUUCGAACUGCUAGGUUGGCAGGAGCAGGGACUGAGCAACGGGAGCUCAUCCCGUUCCAGAGAUUUGAACCGCCGACCUUCUGAUCGGCAAGUCCUAGGCUCUGUGGUUUAACCCACAGUGCCAUCUGCGUCAAAAGGUUAAUAGUGAUGUCAAAAUAAUCAGUGUUUUUACGGCAAAUUGUUAAUUUGCAUCCGUUUUAAGGUAUUCUAUUCUGCCAGAGCAUUCAAAAAACCCUACAAAUGAAAAUGAGACCCCAACAUUUAUGAGCAACAAACAAGAUUUUCAAUUUUGAGUUGAAAAAUAUCUGACCUCCACAUGGAACCUUAUAUAAGAUGAAAUAGGCAAUUGUAACACAAAAAUGCUGUACAGGAUUGCUAACUUUCUGUUUUUACUCUGGAUAGGUCAUAAAAAUUGGACAGUCUCCAACCAAAAUAGUUCACAGCUGUUGUGGGGGGCGGAAGCAUGUUGUCCGUUUGACUGACUGUUAUCUUGCCGGGAUGAGGCUGCUAUAAAUAUGAGCAAUUAUACCAUAAGCAGUCAAAUUAAAUUUUCAUAACUAGGAAACCACAUUUUACCUUCAGGCACAGCCUGAUGUCUUUUGCUUCAUUCACGAGUCCUUAAUCCUAUGCAUUAAAUCUAAACAAAUCAAUGUUUACCAACAUUAAUAUUUUAAGAUUCUGUGCUUGCUCUAGCUGUCGACAUCUUCUGCUUUUAUAUGGAACACUUUCUGCCAUUCAACUUCAAUAUGGCAUACUCAGGUGCUGCUUCUCUGCUCUUUUGUCCUGCUUUAUUUGAUACUUUCACACAGCUAAAAUUGCUCUCCAACCUAAGGCCAGCAUGGGAUUGAUUUGUAUGCCAUAAGGCAGGGAAUUGUGGCUCUUCAGGUGUUGCUGGGCUGCAUUCCCUACUCUUCCUGACCAUUGUCCAUGCUACCAGGGGUUGAUGGGAGUUGGGCUUCACCAACAUCUAGAGAGCCACAGGUUUCUCAUCCCUGCAGGAUUCUCAGAACACCAAAAGAAUGACAACUGAGUGUUUAGCAAACAGAGGCUACAGUAAUUGCUGUAUAAUUUCUAUAGUAUUUUUAUUGUAUGUUUUAGCUGUAUGAAAGCAGACCGGACUUUAGAGGGGAGAAUCUAGUGGCAUUGACAUGAUUGAGCCUACAUCUCUAUAUCCAAGCAUCCAAGUCACUGUUAUUGGAGCUCUGGUCCUGGUCUCUCCUUUCUCUGCCCAGAAAUCCUCUAAUAAGCCAAGAUUAUCUGAUGACAAUACCCCUCAUGCGUCUCUGUCUUUACAAGCUGAAGCCAAUAAAAUGUGGAACGGGAGGUGGGUAGGACUAGCAUAUUUUGGUUUACUAGAUAAUACUGGAUGAAAGAGAAGAGGUGACAAAUAAAAUACUAUAUCACAUUUCUACAUCAAGAUCAGUGUGUGUUUUCCCCCUAGAAAAAUGGUGCUGGUAUGUCCCUCCUAAUUUGGUUGUAAAUCGCUUGGGGUUGCCUAUUAACUACUAUACUGAAAAUCCUGUAUAGUUGCUCUGACCAUCCUCUGCUGAUAUAAUCUGGAGACAAUCUGGUGUAUUCCAGAUAUUUUGGACUCCCAUCAUCACUGACCAUUGGCCAUGCUGACUAGGGUGAUAGGCUCUGUAGUCUACAGCAUCUGGAAAGGGCAAAAGCUGGAGAAAGCUAAUAUAUAAAAUGCCACACUUGGGAUUGCUCUUUUACUCUCACUUUCCCAUUUCCACCAGUGGGGAAUUCUUAUUUGCCAUAGAUUAAUACAGCCGCACUGAAUGAAUUCACUAUUGCGUGCCCAACGCUGUGGAAAGCCCUCUUAGCUGUCAUCAGGCAGGAACCCUCUUUGUUGAACUUCAGGCACUUGGUGCAGACUUUUCUUUAUAUAUAUAUCUAUGAAUUUCAGCCAACAGUUCAAGUAAGCUUUUCUGAUCUCAUGGAUAAUUUUAUAUUAUUUUAUCCGUUGUAUCUCUUUUGUAACUUCAUUGUAAACCACUUAGAAACUGUGGUCUUAAGUAGUUUAUAAAUGGUUCAAACAAACAAAGGUACGUUCCUUGCAUAUGUACAUUUCCCAAAAUAUGGAAUAUAUUGGGGAACAUUAAAUGUUGCACCGUGCACUUUCAGCUGGGCAAUACCAGUUUUUUUAGGAAUACCAUGGAGGUGCAGUGUUAUGGCCCAUAUCCCCCUCCCCCACUCCAAAAGAAUCCACCUUUAGCCAUGGGAAAUAAUGGAAGAUACCUGAAGGCCAAUUGUAGUCCCUCCCUGGUCAUAUCGAGGCCCUCCCUAAACACAUUAACCCACACAAUACAGAUUACUGAGGGCUACCACUAGAGGGCAGGGAUGAACAAAGUGUCUCAACACUGGAGGCACUGCAUUGCAGGACAAUACAGUAUUGCCUCUUUUGAUAUUUAUAACUUCUUUUUUUUUGUUAGCCAGAAGAGAGCAGAACUGAGAUCAACCUCUAGCUAUUAACCUGCCACUAGAUUGCUUGGUUUAUCCUCCUUGGAUAAGAUGACAAGAUGUGGGGAAAGUGCAGGGAAAGGAAAAGAGAAUUUCGCUUAUUCUAAAUGUUUCUUGCACAAACACAGGUUUUUGUCCAUACCUAGGACUUAUAAAUCGGAAAGCAGAGCUCAGCAGGCUGUGUCCAUCAGCACUGGUGAGAAGAGGCAGAUAAUAUGGAAGCAGAUAAUUACCAAACGAACACCAGCAGCCGCAUUUUUUCAGUCAUUUUUUUAUUAUUGGGGGGGGAAUUAAAUCCCGAUAUCUAGUGUGUUGGUUGUGUUUUUCUGGCACCCACUCGAUGUUUGUAUGCCUGCUGGGCUGCAAUCCGGAGGCUGGGGAAGAAGAAAAAAAUAAAAUAAAGCACACUGCAAUUUCUAGCCAGCUACUUCGCUGUUCUCUGUGCCUAGCUUCAAAGAUUUUAAAAAAUAUAUUUUUCUGCACCACAGCUCAGAGUUGCUAAAUCCAGAAAUUGAAACAUUCUGGGAACCAAAUCAUUUUGGGGGCAAAUCAAAGCUCUUGGAACGCUGCCCUCAGGAUUUUCAAGAUAGUAGUUAAUAGUGAAAACAGUUCAAUAUUUUUAAGGAAAUCCCAAUUACUGCAGGCUGCACUAUUCAAAUCCUUGAAUGAAGGCAGCAUAUCUAACAGGAGUAGAUGUUCUGUGGGUGAAUGGCUGUGUAUCCUGCAUAUACCACCACAGAAGAAUUAAUGGGAAAAGUCCCAGUUGUACUUCAUGUCUAUUGUACAUAUUGAUACAAAUGCUGUCGAAAUUGGUACUGACUGCUUAGGUAAGGCUUUGUUCUGUCUCUCACAUAAAGCAGGAGUUAAAUCCCUUUGUUAGGCAUGAAAACAAAUACUCUUCACAAACAAAAUUAUUCUACUUACUCUAGAAAUAAUGUUUCCAUUUGCUCAAUAGAAAAUCCCUGAUGCUUCUGUCUUGUGUUUGUCAGAAGAGAUUGUCGCAUUGUAGACACAGGCAUAUCUUAUGCUUAUCCUAGACUUUGCCCACAUUAGAUGAAAAAAAAUCCUCUAAAAACAGCUUCUACUUUAGCAGCCUAGGGUACAAACCAGCUAAGGCUUCAGUCCUGCACAACAGAACUUACAUCUGCAUUAGUACACCUACAAGUUGGGUUCCUUAGUUUUAAGAUCAUUUAUGGCUCAAUCCUUCAAUAUGGUACACCGCACAAACAGAAGAUUCCUGUAGCUGUUGUUUUUGUUGCAACUGCUAAUGUGACUGUUAUGCUAGAUAGGAUGAUUCCUUUUGAAAGAAAGCGCUAUUCUAAGAGUACUUUCUUCCCUGCUUCUUCCAAAUUCAUGCCUUAUUUUCUUGCCUUUAUUAAUUCUGGCUCACCACUUUCGACUGUUCCUUUCAUCUCUUUUUACUGAAUGAUGGUAAAAUGUUAAGAUAGGCAUCCUCCUCCUCUUCCUUCUCUCUUCUUGUGUCUUCCUCAAGCUCUUUGGAGCGUGUCCUCAUGGUAUGUAACGUCUCUCAUUCAGUUCUUUUGUCGGUAUUUUCCAGCCCAGAUUUCAUCCUUUGGUGACUCUCUGGUAAUUCUCACUAAAUAUUUAGAGUUGUACCUGAUUGUUCUACAUGUGAGGAUUUAUUGCUGUGUUUUUAGGGCACUCAUUAAAAGGUAAAUAGCCAUAGUCUAGUUGCACUGUCCUAAUCUCAUACUAGACAAAAUCAAGUUUCCACACCAAUAAGCAGAUGUGCACUUCUGAGCAAGGAUUGCCAGAAUUCCUCUUGGGAUUGAUAAACUCCAUUUCUGAAGUAUCUUGGGAAAUUUUUAACUUGCUGGAAGAGCUCCAAAAGUAGGCAGAAACAGCUUGACUGGAUGUUUAGAUGCUAGAUUUCUUGGAUGUGUUGAAAGGGCAUGCUUGUCAGACAUCUUGUUCAGGGAAUCAUUAUUGUAAGCAUUUACAGCAAAAGAACGAGAAGAUGUUCCUGGAGACAGUAGAAUAUUUGGGGGUGGGAGGAAUGAAAUUGAUUAGAAAUAACUGAAGGUUUAAAGUUGGCUAAGAUGCUCCUGGGAAAGUUUGAAGUCACCCAUUACUAUAGCAUUCAUCUUUUUGAGUACUUCUUUGAUUUUCUUCAUCAUCUCAAGGUUUCCCUGAGCCCUUUGAUCAGGGGGAUGUUAGCACAUUCCCAGUACUCUUAUUUUGUCCCACUCUUCCUCUGGAACGGGCAAAGAGCAAUUUGAUGGCUCUGCACUACAUUUGGAAUUGAGAAGAGCAGCUGGAGAGGGAUGGUGCCUGCCUGUCCUCCCUGUGGACUUCCUAUACCCUCUGUCAGGGGAAAAAGGUAGGGUGUACCUAAAAUCAUCAUCAUAAUCAUCAUCUUACCCUGGACCCAGAGGUAUAUCACAGCUUCUGCACAGUUGCUGUGAUGGUGAAGGUGGUGAUGUAUCCCACACUUCCCCUGAAAGGAGCCUAGGGUGACAAACACACAAAUGACAGGACAUUUAAAACAUCUAAACACAAUUCCAAUACAGACGUAGACUGGAAGCGAUCUCAACUUAAAAGGCAUGUUGGAAGGACUUCAGGAGGUGACAAAAUGACAACAGAGACAGUGUCUGUCUAAUAUUUAAGGGGACAUUUAAUAUUUAAUUCUCCUUUGGGUAGAAGGUUUUCAAGAUAAUAGUGCCAGCACAGGCACUCUUGGAGGAAGCCGAUUAGCUAGAUACAUUCUGGUCCAGGUUCAGGCCAAUAUCAGAAAUGAAUUGGCUUUGAUUUCGCUGCUGUGGGCGAGGGGCGCUUGUGACCCUGUUGCUCUUGCUCAGUCUCUCAGCAGCUUUUGAUACAUUUAAUGAUGACAUCUUGCUGGACAGCCUAUAUGAGUUGGGAAUGGCAGGCACUAUUUCACAGUGCUUCCAUUCCUUCAAGGCCAGUUCUAGAGAGUAUAACAAAACAGUGAACAGGGUGGUGAUACCUCCUGAAGGACAUUGUCUGAAAUGAAAGACAAAUUGAAGGACAUCAUCCUCUUUCUUUACUCCUCCCGAUGGAAACAUGCAGGUGGGGACAGAUAUACGCCUGCUUUAAGUCGUGAAACUCUUUAGCGACGAAACAUCUGAUUACUGGAACAACGUCCAAACACUGAACCACUGGUAUAUCACAAGUGGACUCUUUAUUACUGUGUUUGCAAUUGUUUAAGAUAAAACCUACUUGGGGGAAAACUACUUUUGCCAUUUUUAUGGACAUUUAUUGUUUACAGAUAGUUGCCUUGAUGGUAUUAUCUUGUGUCGGUUGCAGUUCUAGUGAGUGGCAUGGGGUGCCUCUAUCACAGCCUCCUAGAUCUUUAUGUGAAGCCCAUAAGCAGAACAUGAGGGCAGUAAGCCUCUCUCAUUUGAGUACACACUGCUAUCCAGAGAGAGAUUGCCUCUGAUCCUUGAGGUUUAAUGUAGCCAUCAUGGCUAGUAGUCAUUGAUAGCCUUUCUUCUUCAUGAGGGUGUCCUAUGGAUCUAGAAAGGCUUCUUUCACACGAUUCCUUGAUGACUGGAAUCUUUGGAAACAAUCCAUGGAGCCAUAUCACUUUUGUAAAAAUGCCCAGGUCACUGUGGGAGCAAUAGGAGAGACAAUGACAAUCAUGCCAGGAAAUGCAGCAUUGUAACAGGAGCAUGUGAACUACCAACAACCUAUUUGAACUGAAGAAUCUGGUGGGAACAGUUUCAUUGAAACAGGCACAAAGCUUUGAGAAAGGAUAAAUAUAUAACUAGUACCUGCCAUUUCCCCAGGUGUAUUUAGGUGUUGUGAAAGCUGAAGCCCACCCAAGAUGGGCCUCUUUUGCAUAUUUCCUUCAGGAAAAUUUGUUUUUCGUAUUUGUCCUUUUGAAUAAUUCCCAGAUUUUUCUGAUCACCCUAAUUACUGUAGGUACAAAAGAGCUUCAUAUACAUUUACAAAAACAAACACUCACGGUACUUUUGUAAUUACAAAGUCUGCCAUUAAAUUAGUAUUUCAUGUGUUUACAUUUAAAUUAUUAACUGUGGCAGAAUACAAUGGAAGCAGAAAGAACUUGUAAUUUCGGCGAUAAUAAUGGAACACGAUUAGAAGCAUAUCUUUCUAAAACCAAAAUGUGGUUUGCGUUUGCAUUUGCAUUCUCUCCUUGUUUUAGCUGUCGUCAGGCCAAUACAUGUGUUCUCUUUCCUUUUAGGAGGCUAUGUAAUGUUUUAUGGGUUUUUAAAUAAUAUUCUCAAAUCAUUUGCACUAACCACAUGGACUGAGCUAAGUGCAGUAGGAGUACUGGGAUUGUACUGAAACACAGUCGCAAGGCCUGUAGUUUGUUUUCUUUCUCAAUACUAAUAGCUAAUUCCUUUGCACAUCAAAAAUACCAGUCUUCUUCCAGCUUCCCAUGCACCUGCCCAGGGCAUUUUUUUCCUACCAGAAGAAGAAACCAAAUGCCCCCCCAAUAUUGUGGCCAACAUUUUGAAAAGUCUUGCUACACCAGUCACUUGGGCUCUAAUAUCUGCCUUUUUCUAUUCUCUUUUACUCCCCCCACCCCUGCCUGGUACACGACAGGUCCUGCUUCCCACACAUAGCACCAAUUGUGGGGCUCCAAAGAAAGACACAAGCCUGCCUCUUAAUACAUCACAAAGCACCCUAGGUUCCAACUUCGUUUACAAUGCAUACAUCACUUAAUCUAGAUUUAGUUUUAUUUUUGCUGACCUAAACUUACUGACAAUGGAAGGAUUAAGUAGCCCCUUCUUAGCAUUGUUUAUAGACAGAAAUGAUAGACACCAAUCCUCAGAUCCCUAGGAUGGUGCUAGUUCUGCUAAAAUAAUAAUAAUAAUAAUAAUAAUAAUAAUAAUAAAAAUAAUUUAUACCCUGCCCUCCCCAGCCAAGACCGGGCUCAGGGCGGCUAACAACCAAAAAUAAAAACAAGUUGAUUAAAAUACAAUUUAAAAAACAAGAUUAAAAUACAACUUUAAAACAUUAGGAUGCAGCCUCUUCACAGGAGGAGAAAGGAAAAGAAAGAGGGGGAGGGAAUCAAACUGAUUCUAAGCCAAAGGCCAGGUGGAACAACUCUGUCUUACAGGCCCUGCGGAAAGAAAUCAGAUCCCGCAGGGCCCUGGUCUCAUGAGACAGAGCGUUCCACCAGGCCGGAGCCAGUGUUGAGAAGGCCCUUGAAUAGGGGCUGAGAAAAUAAAGUGAUGUGAAAAUUCUAGUAUUGCCAACCAUCUUUAGAUUUGUUGCUGCUGCUGUGUUGUUAAUAUAUGCCCCGCCAGGGCCAGUGCCAGACCUCAGUGGGUUGUCAGAAUAGGGCUAGGUUUGAGUGGGCUCUCAAUUGCUGAUGGGCCCCACAUGGCGCCAACCUGGGUCCCCACCUGGUGCCGCUAUGUGCUUUUGCUGCCACGCAUACUGCUGUUCACUUGCCUCAACCCAACCUGAACAUGUUUCCCAGGGGGAUGGAAGCUGCUGCCACUGCUGGUGCUCUGCAAUGGGAACCAAGCUGUGGUGUUCAGCUCUGAUCCAUGGCAACCUCCUGCUGCGCUAGAUUAUCCAAAAUGCAAUGUCCGACCUGAUAUGCUGAGUCUGUUGCUACAUUUUGCAUAAUCAAAUAUGGCGAGAAGCCACUGUGGGUGUGAGCCAACUGCCAAUUCAGUUCCCAUUCAAAAGUGCUGCUGCUGUGGACCAAACAAUUAUGUGUUUUUUAAAGGGAGGGGCGGGAUUAGGUGAGGUAGGCGAGUGAUUGGCGUUGGCAGCAACUAGAGUGCCAUACUGUGGGUAUAAUAGUGGCAAGGGUUGUGGGGACAUCUGGCACAGGUGUCAGGAGCGAGCCAGCAAGAAAUCACACUGAUUAAGUGACGUUAAAUCUUAAUGAGAAGAAACAGGAUCUGCCCAGGAGUGUCAGGUCUUCUAAUGAGCACAGCAUUUAUCUUUGGUAGUUCUUGCCCCUAUGAGGCAAUUGUGGAGAAUGAACAUCCCCAGCUUCCCCACAGCUGCCUAAGUCUCCUCCUCUCCUGGGUCUUUUGCAAGCAAUCUGAGAUAUGUCAGCUCCGGCUUCAUACCUGGAAGACCAGGAGAGGGGAGGUUGUCACAGCAGGAGUGUGAGACACCAUUGUUUCCUCACAGUUUCAGUUGGUUGGCUGAUAAAAACUUGCAUGGAGGGGACAGCUGGCUGGGCCAGGGAGGUGAUUAAUGCCUCCUUAUGAGAAGGAGUGGUCCCUGUCUGGUUGAAGGAGGCAGCGGUAAGACCACUCCUCAGUAAACCCUCCUUUGAUCUGGAAAAUCUAAGUAAUUAUCAUCCAGUUGCCAAUCUCCCCUUCUUGGGCAGGAUUCCUGAGCAAGUGGUCAUGCACCAGAUCCAGGCACUGUUGGAAGAAACUGAUUUUCUAAAUCCAUUUCAAUCAAGUUUUAGCCCUGGUUUUGGCACCGGUUUUGGUUGCCCUGUAUGAUUACCUCUGUCAGGAGAGUGACAGGGGAAAUGUGUCUCUGUUAAUUCUUCACCUCUCCAGGGCUUUCAAUACAAUCUAUCCUCUAGCAUCCUCCUGGAAUGGCUGUCCAAGUUGUGGGUAGGUAGCAUCACUUUGUGGUGGUUCCAGUCCUGACUGGAUAGUCAUUCCCAGAGGGGAGGGCUUGAGGAGUGCUCUUCGGCCCUGUGGAGCCUUCGAUACAGGGUUCCUCACGAUUGGCAGUGGUGGUAUUUUGAAAAUUAUUACCUUUGUUGAAUAUAUUUUGUCUGUACCUCUCUUACCAGCCUCUGAUCAUGUCAGUCCCCAACUGUCUAUACAUGUCUGUUCAGAAAUAAGUCCCAUUGAGUUCAGUAUGGUGUACUCGCAGGUAUAUGAUUGCAGCCUGAAUCUGGUUACUCAAAAGUAAAUUCAAUUUCUUUCAGUGGAAAUUGCUUUGAGAUAAGAGUGUUUGGGGUUACAAGGAGCACAGCCAUCCUGAUUUUAGAGGUGAAUAUACCUGUUAUUUCACAACUAUUUUCUUUAGUUUUCAAAAACUAUCCUUUAAAAAAAAGGGGGGGGUUUCAAACCUUCAGAAACUCCCUGGUGAUAAUUUAUCCAGUCUGUGCCAAGGUUCAGUUUGUUACAAACCAUAUCACCCCAUUUUCUCUAAAUAUUCAUAUAUCUGUUUUGAUACCAGAGAAGGAAUUUCUAUGACCUGUCUACUUGCAUUGUAGCGUGUGUAAAAAAAAAGAAAAGUUUGUGACUGCAACCCUAAAUGUUUUAUCACCUGUCAGACAUUUCAGUGAUAAUAAAAUGUAACAUCCUUUAAAUUAAUUAGACAUGAUUAAGACUUCAAGCCCACAGGCCACUUAAUUAUGCAAAAAUUGUAAGUUAGCUAUUUAAAUUACCAUUAAAUUGAUUCUUAUGUUAAUUGAUAUCUCACUUAUAACCCUGCAUUUCACUUCUAUAGAAUAACAGGAAAUUAUUAAACUUUAAUGCAUAUACCUGAAAAUGGUUAAGCAACCAGUCCUGCAAAGAAAAUAUACUGAAGAUGAAUAAUGGAGGCAGAAUCGGACAUAUACAGUCACACACACACACACACACACACACACACACACACAAACAAUAGGGCCUGCUUUAGUUAGGUAGAUCUGACAUUGUUUAUGCAUAACCUAUUAUUAUCCAAAUUUGUUCUGAUUUCUCUACCCUUCAACUGAGUGAAGCUUUGAUUUUCCACAAAUGCACAGUAACUGCUGGUACACAGAUCAUUCUGGCAUGAAUGGAAUAAAAGAGCAGAGGUGUGAAGGCAUACCCAGAAUUACAGUAUGUUAGUAGGUGGGUAUUACUUCUCAUCAAAUUCACUUGGAGGUGAAGCCCUUGAUCAAUGAAACACAGCAAAACACUUUCUUUUUGUGACUGUACAUACAAUUGCAUGAAAUUAAUCAUAUAGCACCUUUCACCAGCUCAGGCUGGUACACUAACUCCAUACUCUCCUAGACAGCCACAGUGCGAUCACAGUUAUCCAUGCCCUGGUGACCUCUAAUCUUGAUGCAUACAGUACAUGGGACUACUGAUAUUUGGAAACCUCAGGUAUUUGGGGAACGUAGGAAGGAGCCUUAUACCAAAUCAGAUCAUUGGUCCACCUUUCUCAGUAUUUCUCACCCUCUGGCACCCUCCAGAUUUGGGGCUGGAUAUAAAGCCACUCCAGAUCCAUCCCUGGCCUGCCUUCUAUUUCUGCCCUGGGACCAUAGAAUAGAAUUGCAACUUUAGGGUACAGAUCAAUGGAUUAAUCUAUUUCCAGUUCAUGCCAGUUUCACAUGUCUUCAUUCAUAAACCCAUUCUGCACUCUUUCCACGUUAUUCUACAAUCUUUCUUUUUCUAAAAAAAGAGAAAGAAAGAAAGAAAGAAAGAAAGAAAGAAAGAAAGAAAAAAAGCCCAUAUGAAAAGUCACAGCUUUGGUGUGCCAUUUUGCAUGCAUUUUACCUUAAAAUAUGCAUUUUUGAUAAUUCAUUUUAUCCUAUAAUACUUAUUUUCAUGUGCAUUCCCUCUAGAAACCCUGGGAAAUCUAUAUGGUUUCUUCAAUUUUUGCAGUUUUUGUUUUUGUUUUUUUAAAAACCUUUUAAUCGGGAUCUUGAACCUUCCAUGUCUGGGCUGCCGUGAGUUUUAUUGCUUAUAGUUUUUUAUUAUUAUUUUCUUAUUUUUGAUUCUUCUUAGGGUGGAACAGUGGAAUAAUUUGGUACACUUUGUAUCACAGCAUUCAAGAGUACUGCAAAAACCUGAAGUUUAAUUGUUUUCUGAUCCACAUAUUAGCUCAGGAAGUGUAAAUCAUGCUGGUUUGCUUAAAAAUAUGAUUGAAUGGUGUAAAACUUUGUGUCUCAAAAUCAGAACCUGGAUCAUAGUUAGGAUGAUAGACAUUGUAGUUCAGACUUUAUCUUAAGACAAACUCUUUCAUGUGGAACUCUUUUAAUUGAAAAGAGAAACACACCCACCCUUUUUCCUACCAGGUCUUAAGUUUUGCUUUAGUUAAAAAUACUUUUAACUGGGUCAAGACCAAGUUCCUUAGGGUGACAUUAAAAAGAGUUUGAUUUAAAUAUUAGCUGUCAAGGAAAUUUAUAAUUUUGGCAGUUAUCAGACACCUUUAUUCUGUGUAAUGAUGAAGAUUUGACUUUGAUUUUUCUUUUUCACCCAAAUGAAUGGUGCACCUUUCUUUAAUUUCUGAUACUUGUCGGCCAUUUGGCCCAAUAAUGGCAUGCAAAAUGAACUCUUAAAAAAUUUAUGCUAACAUUUAUUAAAUAAUGUAUCAUAAAAUAAGUCAAUUUGAAAUUCUAGUUGAACUCCCUGUCUGCUUGUGAGUGUUCCACCCCCACCCUUUUCAGAAGCCCCAUCUUCAUAAACCAUUUUCACAGCCUUUCUAAUUAGUGUGAAUAUUUCAAAAAAUGUUAUUGUAAAUUGAUAGCUAUUGAGCCGCAUGCUAAAGUUCUUUUUGGACUUCCCAUUUAAAUGUCUGUUCCUCCGUUGAAAGGGGCCACUUGAAGUGUCAAGAAAACUCUGGCACUGGUUACGUUAACCCAAUGACACACCUAUCUUGUGCAGCUUUUGGCAGUGGGGAUGGGCUUAGUUCUAAUCUAAGCAUGACUGAAAAUAAAAUGUCAAAAGAUGUAAAUGCAUCUCUAAAGGCCUGCUUUGAUCUUGGUUUGAUCCCAUUCUACUGACUUAAGUGGGGUUAAUUGCUUGUUUUAAAUAGAUUCUGGAUUUCUAAUAGUGUAAUCCAAAGUGGAAGUCUUUGGAUUUAACAUGAUUAGCAGCCCAUCCUAAACUCAUUUUCUUGUAAAAACUCAUUGAUGUCAAUAGCACUCACUUCCAAGUAUAUGCAUAUUUUGUAUUGGGGUGUUAGGGACUAUUUUCACAAGUGACACACACAAAAAAAGGCUUUGAGUGUCGAUUCUACUUUUGUGUCAUGUCUGAAUACUGUUGAUCCAGGAGAGAAUGUGUAAAAAAUACCCAUUACAGCCAAAGUUGGUCUUAUUUUCACAUUAGGAACUGAUUGUAAGGCACCUAGAGGAGGCAGUCUAAACAGCUCACUUUCCAUUAGUUACCUCCUGCACCACCACUAUUCUGGUCUCAUAGCCAACUCAGCUCCUCAAUCUAAGGCACACAUUUUACUGAGUAAUCACAUAGGUCAGGCAAGGGAGUCUAUAUGGCUUUCUCCUCAAAUUCUGACCAGUUCACACCUAUGAAUAGGACUGAGCAGAAGAGUGUAUGUGUAUUGUACAAAAACAGUCACCUGCUGCCAAAUGCAAACCCCCCCAUCUUGCUAUUUGUUUUGGGGGGGCUGUAAACUGGGAGGAAAAGUUUCACUCAUUCGGAGUGAUGCCAGAAAGUUCUGUGCUUACUCCAAUUUGGCUCUGUAACACUGUCUGACAAUCAACUCUGAUUUACUAUGUGAUGUCACCAGGAAGCAUAUUCCUAGCAUAUUCUGAGUGAGGGCAAUGCUUCUUGCCAUCCCUCUGAAUAGCCUUCCUAGUGACAUCACAUAGUAAAUCAGAUUUGGCUGCAAGACAUGCAGCUUGCUGACAGCUUUAGAAUGUAACGCAAUUCUAAUGUCACCUCAAGAACAAGCCACUUUUUAAAAAAAGAAAUAGCUCCCAGGUUGCAGAGUGAGGAAAGAAGCAAAAGCAAAUUCAUGACCAGCAGCACAUGACAAAGGUAGGUGAGAGGUGGUCAAUAAGCUUUUUGCUGUAUGGCUUAUUAUUCUCCACCUUCCCCGUUUUCAUGGGCAAAAGUACAGAAACAGACAUAAGAAUCUCUGUACUGGAACAGGGAAGAACUGACUCUCAGUCCUUUGAGCACUAAUCUUUUUUUCUUCUGUGCUUUGCUAUGAUGAAACAAGAUUGUUCUAUAUCACUAUAAGAACUCUGAAUGUCACACAAAAGUUAUGUAUAAUACCACCAUUCCUCAUUUCAGUUAUACUUGGAUGAAAUAAGCACAGCACCCAAUCCUUCCUUGUAUGUUACCCACUUUUCUCUGUGUUUGUUUUUUUGGGUUGGGAAAAUAGCCAGAUGAUGAUGGGCAAUGAUCUUCCUACAAAACCUUAAAAAAAAUCCAAUAACAUGACUUGGUCAAUUUACUGCAUUUCUAUAAACCUAAAAUGAUUGAAAUCGCAGGUAGGAUUUCAAAUAACCAGCCAAAAUGAACAGAUUGAAAGAAUGUGGCGUAUCCAAGGCAAAGUAGAGACCCCAAACUGUAGAAUGGUUUUGGAGUUUGUAUCCAAGCACACCCACGGGCACCAGUUUACUCAGGGGAGUCCGCAGCAGAAUAUCAGUGCAAGAGUUUUAAAAACUGAAUAUUAUUCCAAGUACAAGUUACACUAAAUUCAACCCUUAAUAAAAGUAGCUUAUCCAGUGGGUCAUAGGGUAAACCCAGACCCCAAACUCUAUUCCUUGGGAAGAAUGCUGAAAUAGUUUUGAAACCCCUGAAUUGUAUAUUUACUGGUUUCUGCAAGGCUAGCUACUACAUAUGAAUGGAUAGACCCUACCAAUAUUAUUAUGGAUAGAUGGUGUAAGAAGGCCCUGUACAUCACUUAAGGUGUGUGGUGGUCAUGAGAACCUUGUGGCCAUCUGGUGGACUUUCAUGACAUAUCAAUCACUCUGGACUUAAGCAGCCAAGUAUGUCUUCAUUUCAUUUCAUUUCUUUCCUUUCCUAAAAUUCAUGCCCCACUUGAUUCUAAAAAACCUCAAAGUGGUUUAUCCUGUGUUGCCUGUUGGGGAGUGGGAUUACGUGUCCCUGUUGCUUUCUUUAUACUCUGCCUCCUCUGCUCGAACCCCCAUCAUAACUAUCAUGAUUUUCCCACCCUGGAUGGUGCUAUGAAGGAAGAGCAUACUUUUGUUGUUUGUUGUUGUAAGAGUUAUAUUAUGCCCAGGUAUGCUAUACACUUGCCUCCUGUAUAUGUACAGACAUAUUAAUGAAACAAAUAAAGAUCACAGACAGAGUAUAUUCAUCUACAAUAUUUUUUUGAAGUUGCCAGUAGCAUUAGCUCAUACAUCCUGCGGUGCCAUUCCAUGCCAUGCCAUUUGCUGAACGAGAGCCAAAACUGGACAAAAUAGAGACUGCCAUCCUAUACAGUCUUUUUAGAAUGUGAGUUCCAUUGAACCCAGAAGGAACUAUUUUCAAAUAAACCGGCUUAGGAUCAUAAAGUUACAUCCAGUGUUAGUCAUACUCACAGCAGACCCACUGAAAUCAAUGGACAUAACUAAUGUAGGUCCAUUAAUUUUAGUGGGACUAAGUUGAGUACAGCUCACAGUGAAAUCUUCCCUAUUGAGAACACAGCUGAUACUAUCUGCAUGAUUCAUACCUGUGUUAUGCAGGACUGAUUUCCUAGUAGAUUUAAGAUAUUUCUCUUCUUCUACAUAGAAGAACAGAGCAUCGAGGGAACAAGAUGGCUUUGCAGAUACAUCAUCUAUUUAAUUCAUAUAUAAUUGCUCAUUCUUCCUGACUUUUUUUGUAAUUUAAAUCAAGUGUUAAGCAGAGCCCUAUCAAAUAUCUUCAACAAAACAAAAGAGAAUAUCCUUUUUCUGAUUCAACCAUAAAUGUUUAUGAAUCAGGUAAGAACCUUUUUUCCUUUGAUUUUUUCUCCAUCACAAACUUAAAAAAAAGUUGGCUAUAAAAAUUAGCAGACGCAGAAAGCAUUUUCUGAAGCUAGCCUCAAAAUUAACUAUCUACCAAGCACUUAACAUGGCUAUCUCGUCCUUGUAAUUUUGGAAUGCAAUAAACCUGAUGGUAAUUUUUAUACAUGUGAGGAUUAGUACAUGCCUGCAUUGUUCACCUGGUAUCACAAGCUAUAAUAUGCUUUCAAUCAAAUCACUUGAAAUACAGAUUGUGAAAAGAAUAUGUGUUAUUAUUUUGUUUUAAAAGAUAGACGCACACAGCUUGUUAUCUUUGACCACAAAGCAGAGGGGGAAAAUUCCCCCGUCACACUAGAUGUAUCCAUGUUUUAUGUAUGCUCGCUGCAAUAACAUUUCCAUAUGAAUAUAAUGAAAUGGCACGUUCUUUUUAGUCUUUACAUUGUAUAGAUUUAUGCAGCAUGGACUACAUACAGUACACUGUAUCAUCAUGAAUAAUGUGAUUAUGGUAGGUAUAAUAUGUGACUCCUCAACAGGAACUUGAAUUAUGUUCAUGCAGUAGUUUUCUUUCAUAAGUUGCAUAAUUUUCUUUUGGUUUCCCCCCUGGGGAAUUUGUUUUAUUUCUUGCAAUUUACUUGCUGCUUCUAUUUUUGUAUAAUAAUAAUAAUAAUAAUAAUAAUAAUGUGCAUGGUAAAAUAUUUACAAUGGCAUAAUCUCCAGCUUUGGAUGCCCAGAAAAUGCUGUGUAAUAUGACUGAAUUGAUAAUUAAGUAGGAAUAUGUCACCAUAUGCUUAAAUUGCUCUAUGGCCAAUGUUUUUUCUCCAAUUAUCAAAAUGCACAUGAUCAAAAUUAUGUUUGGAUAACAACAUUCCAGCUACGUAUGGCACAUGCCUAUGAUUCCAGUUGGGCAUCAUAUUUCUUCUGGCUUGUGUAGUGUACAUAUGUAUGACCUGUUAACACAGAGUGGUCUAAACUCUUCUACUAAUUCCCUUCGUUUCCCCCUUCCUAUAACUUUGCUUCGUACCUGUAAAAUACAGUGCAAUUCAUAAAACCAGCUAUGACUCGGGAAAAUCUGGAAACUAAAUAGCUAUUCUAAGUUGAUGAAAGCAUUUGUUUUAGGAAGGGAGAAGAUGAUGUGCAAGUUUUGUUGCAUUUUGAAGUUCCACAUUUACUGGAUUCAACAAUCAUGCUCUUUGGGUCUUCCCUUCCCUUUUUAAUUCAUCAUGAAAACACCCCAACUGUACAGAAAUUAUUUCCAACAUCUCUCUCCCUUCUGUGAUAAAAAAGCACCUGGGCAAGAGACCACUCUGAUGCUAUUUAAAAUUAGGUCAUAUUUUUGUGGUGUUGAAGAAAUGAGACCUAUCUUGAUUUCCAUGGUGCAUCCUGAAUGCACAUUCUUCUUAAUUCCCAAGCAGAAGUUUAAGUCAAGUCCUUACAAAACCUUUGUGAAUGAUAUGAAACAUUUUAGGAAAUACCACAUUUUCUGUCUGUGUUUGCUGCUUUGAUUUAUCUAUUUGGGCAAGUUUGUUAUAAGGGGCAAGGGGAGAGUGAGGUCAUUGGUCAGUCCAACCUAAUGUUGCCUACUCAGAAAGCAGUGACUCCCCAAGGACUGGUGCAGGGGUCAUUCCCUGUCCCAAUACUGAAUAUCAGUGCUUUUUUUCUGGGGGUACGCAGGGGUACGCAUACCCCUAAACAUUUUGUGAAUCUAAGUUUGGCCUCAUUGAGGGGCAGUAUCUCAAUAUAAGUAGGAAAAUGAGAGUACCCCUAAGCAUUUUUUCAGAAAAAAAGGACUGCCAAAUACUAUAUCUGGUAAUUCCAGGGCUGAAUCUGACAUGCUUUGUUCAUGCAAAACACAUGUUCCAGCACCUGAAGACCAAAUGCAAAAUCCUUGUUCUGUCUGCCCAACUUUAUAUAUGAACUGAUGCACAAUCCUGUGCACAGGUUGCACUCAUAGAACACACUUGUGCUAAUGUUUUGUAGCUAGAGGCCACAAUCCAGUGCAGGUGUAUGUGUGUGCGUAGGUACACUGAAGUCAGUUUGAAGUCAUAGACUUUUUGAUAUUGUUUUAUUUGGGGGCAGAGAAGAAAACUGAAACUGCAGGAGGAUGCAGUUAUUUCUUUGUAAUUCUGGAAUGCAUAAAUUCUGAUUAUCAGUGUUCGAAACUCCCAUUGUUCUAGGUGCAUUUUGCGACAGGGAAUUUUAUUAGCAUGAACUGUUUCUGAGCUCUGGGCGCAGUACUGCACCUAAGAUUUCAGAUUAAAACUGCAGAGUGGAAGGAAAGGAGGACCUUUUUCUGCCUUCCCACUUCCAGCUACUCUCUGAAAACUGAAGAAGAGACCCAGGGUAAGGACUAGACCAUGUGAAAAAUGAGCAUAAUAUUUUAGCUGCAGUUCAUUCACAUUCAGCUUUGUAUUUUUAUUUUUUUUAAAAAGUGCGCCUAGACAUUCCAUUGUUGUACCCAUAACCUAGGUUUAAGGUGCCGUUUAGCUCCUAGCUUUCAUAUCUCAGUUUCUAACACUGUUGAUUAUAAUACACUUAUUAAAUUCCCUCAGUUCUCAAAGCAGCUGAGCCCAAAAUUUGAGUUUAAGGUAACUUAAAUUUCAACCUUAUGCAAAGUAUAGUGUACCUGUAAGACCUUUGGUUUAUAUGUAGGAUUAGGCUGCUUGCUUCAUAGGCCACAAUCCACUGUACACUUGUAGAGGGUCUUUCGUUCUUCUUUUGAGGACCAGCCCUGUAGCCCAGUUCACUUAACUCAGCAUGCACAUUCAGUGAACGCCUGAAACAGUAGCCUCUGCCUCUCCCCCUGCUAACGUUCGGUGAAUAGUUUAGCGGGGAGAAGCCUGUUGAUGUCAUACCACUACCAACAUGUGCAUACAUUGAAUGUGCCUACUGAAGGAGUGAAAAGGAUGCCUGUGCCAGAUUGCAAACACCUAUUGCAAUCUCUCUGGGUUUUGUUUUGGUUUUUUUAAAAAAGAAGAUUGUAAUGUGUGCACAGAGGCUAUUUUCGGAAAUGCAGUUUAUUGCACAUGUAGAUCUACAAAUGCACUCUGAUCUACCUGUGUGCUGCUCUGGUCAGUGGGCAAUGGUUUCAGUCAGACCAAAUCCAAGUACUUUUCAUUUAAUUGGAUUUGAUGUCUUGUUGUUUGAACCAAAGAGAUUGAACAGUGUGACCCUAAGGACAACUAGUCCAAGGCAAGUCUCAGUUCAGUCACACAUCUCCUAGUAAGGGUCCAUGAGAUUUCAGCCUAAGAUCCCAAUAGUUCAAGGAUCUAGAUCCCAGCAAGCUUCUUAUUGUAAUCCUCCAGACUGUGAUCAUUUUAUACCCAUCCCUUUUUGGUACAGCAAAUGCAUUCUUUGUUAGGAUGCAGUAAUUAUAAGGUUCUCCGUUAUAUGGCAGUUACCAGGUAAUUCUCAAACAUCCAUGCAAUUUUAAUGGACACAGGUUAGGUAUAUAUGUGAUCAGCAACAAAUAAAAAGUCAUGCCAAAGAAAAUGUUAUCCCUGUUGGUGCAGGGUCCUUCUUCUUUAAUCCUGCGUCAUGUUUGGUUAAAAAGUAAUGCCUCUUCUACCUCUAGGAGUAAUGUCAACAUUCCAGUCCCAUACACAAGGUGUGAUGUUGCCAAGUAGCUAUUAGUGACAUGUUGAUCCGAAGCCAGCUGUCUUUUACCCAACCAAACUUUAGUUGAUCUGGAAUGGGAGAGUGGCACUCGAUAACAUGGUGUCUUUUACACUUCGCUAUCCAAAUUAAUAUUAGCUAAACUCGUGCAACAAUUCAAGAGUUUAGGGUCACUUUAUUAACAGGGAACAUCAAUCCAGGGUAUAAUUCAAUUAAAAAACAUCAAUAAAAAUCUAAUUUCAAAAGUCGCGAGCAAGGUGCACCAAUAUACCACAUCAGGCAGUCAGAAAGCGCUCGGCUACUAUUGAAUCAUUGCCUGUUUUAAUAAGUAUUCAGAAAAUUAUACCAAGACUUCAAAAGAAAUUGUAAGGAAUUGUUAGCAGGUUUAUUAAUGUUUUAUGUUUUAUUAAAAGUUUGGGUGUACAUUUCACAAUGAGCAACAUCAAAAAUCAGACUUUCUGCCUGUAAUUUUGCUUCCUCCUGUCUUUCUGCCUUUGGGAUUCGCUCUUUUCCUUUCAUCAGCUGCCAUUUUCAGCAGCAUGCAGUAAUUUCAUGGCUCAUUGCAAGCGCUGAAAACCUUUGAAACCACAAAUGCUAACCUACCUGGCCUGCAGCCAUUUAGGAAGAGAUUAAUUUAGCAAACAGAAGCAAAACACUUUCUACUCCUAGCCUGUGCAUAAUUUCACUUCUAUCUAUAUUUAUUUUACAGUGAGCAGCGUAAUGACAAUUUCAGUAAUUGCAACUCUGUAAAAAUUUGCCUACCUAGCUUAUCUCGCUAUCACAAGACUGUGAGUCAGUCAGAUUAGGGGGAAAUAAAGUACAGUGUGAAGCCUGCAUUGGUUGCCUUCCAAAAAAAAUAUGUGUUUUUAUAUCAAACUUAAGUGAUGCUUUGCCCCUUAUUUGUAUACUUAUCUGCAGGACAAUGGAUUCUCUAAGAUGUUGGGAAGGAAUGCGUGCACAUUUUUUAAUGCACUGUGAUUUAUAGGUGCUGUUUUCACACACACACACACACACACACACACACACACACCCCAGCACACAGCUAGGCUGUGCCAACCCAUUGCUGUAGAUUUAGUUACAAAUGGCUGUUGAGCAAUCUGAACAGAACUGAAAGUCCAUCUGGGGCAAAUUUAGGCUAUCAGGCUUGGAACGAAUUCAGAUUCUAAAUUAGCUCACAAACUGUUAGCUUUAAAAUGAAGUUCAAAUUGUUUUAUUGUUGCUAAUCCAAGGGGAAAAAUAAUAAAUAUAAAAGUCAGCCCAUGGGCUUUUCUCCUAAUAAAUCUUUUCUUACAAUGGCUAUAUUUCUUCAAAACUUAGUUCUUAAAAGUGAGUUGCUGGAUGCUUAUUUGCAUAUUAGAAUGGAAAUGCGUGGUGUUGGCAUAUGCAUUCACCAAAUUUUAAAUACUCUGUAUUUAACAUGUAUUGCUCCUAGUAAGCAGAGAAUCCCCAUCGUAUUUUUAGGUGAUUUUCCUUUCAUGCUAUAGUUGGGGAAACUGAGGCUGAAAGACAGUAGCUACAGCAAGAUCACCCAGAGUACAGGACUGAAAUAUAAGGUCAACAGAUUAUCCAGUUCAAUUAGACCUUGAGUUAACCAGAGCUCCAAGAAGACAACAUACCAUUGUUCAUAGUGUGUUGCUUCCAAAUAAAAUACCUAAGACAGUUUGUAUAUUGAUCAACAAAGUAAACCAACAGCAACCAAAUAUUGGUGUGCAUGGUAGUCUCCCCAAUGUCACAAUUUCAUUCAUUUAUAAAUAAACCUUAUCCCACAUCCUAUAAACCACCAUGAUGAUGCCUUGUGCUACUAUUCUACUAAGGAUCCUCUCAGCUCAUGACAUUCAUUCAUUCAUUAUAUGACAUCACUGCAUGUUUGGAAACAUUUAGGUGGUGUGGGUAAUUUUCAGACAUCACCAUUUGCAUUUUUUUUUAGUUUUUAGUUUUGGUUUUUUUGUAACAGGAAGUCAAAAGGCAAAGAUGUUACUAUAAUCACCUUGGGUAACCUUUUGCCUUAAAAUUUCACUUUCUGUCACCAUUGGCCAAAAUGUCUUCAUAUAAUAAAUAAUGACAGGACAAGUGACAACAGCCAGCCACUGAAACACAAAAAUAUGCAGACACAAAACUGCCCUUUACCUAGCCUAGGAAGCUUAUUUUUAUAAUAUGUCUUUCAAGCUUUUUAAUGAUCAGUAUUUAUUUGUUUAAAAAAAUAUCAGUUGGACAACUUUCUUUUUCUUUAUUAGGUUUAUAGAAAACUGGAUAGUUUUUCCAAGAAGGAAAGUGAAGGGUAGAACAUUAAACUUGUUUAUGCACUGUUUUUAUAAUAGCUAAUUCAUUUAAGCACACAGAUACACAGACGGCAGUGGGAUGACUGGCCAACCCACACAGAUGUACACCUCCAAUCUGGCAUCCCAUAACGUUCAUAAAAUAUGUCAACACAGCCUGGAUUCUUUCCAUCAUUUAUGUUAAAACUAUUGGUGUUCAUACCAGAGAAGCAAACAUUUCUUGUUGUUAAAAUUUGUGUCCCUAUUAAAUAAAGAAAGAAAUAGAAAUGCUAUAUGCUCAGGUUGCCAGCAGCAGGAUUGGCAGACUUCUGUAUGUGCAUUUAACAACAAACACAAAAUGAGUAGAAAUCACCUUUUUUGAAAAUCUGAUCCUACGGUUAUUGUGCAUAUCGCUCUUUUAAUUUGCUGAAGGUUUUACAUUGUUUUAUUGUAGGAGGCCUCAUGAAAGAUCUAGGAGGUGUGCCACCAGUAUUGCAGUUUUAUUUAUGAGAUUUAGUAAUUUGCAAAACUAGCUAGCUCUUUGGUUUUGUAGAAUUAUCAAUGUCCUCUGACUUCGGUGGUUUGUUUCCUUGAAAAAUUCCCAGCCUAGGAAUUAGUUUCAGGUACCAUGUUUUUUAUUGGAAAGGUGUGGCUAUCCAUAGAUAAACUGUUUGUUUCUGGAACUUGUCCAACCCAUUGGAACCCAACCUUUCAAAUUAAAGUUUUCAUUGUAUGGAAUUCUGUGUCAUUCCUAAUGAGGAAUAAUUUGGCCAAGUGAACAUGAAAGUGCAUUUUAUAACACCACGUGGGAAUGUGCUACAAAAACAUUUUUACUUUACCAUCCCUUUGUCAUUUCCAUAAACGAUUACAUUGAUUCAAUGCUCUCAAUAUUCUUUCAAGUUAGCUAGCUAGCUAGCUGUGCUAUUCUAUAUGGUCAGUACACUCAAAGCCUUCUGUUCCAAAAGUGUAUUAUGGUUUUUAACACAAUAAGCUUUUAAAAUGUAUAUGUUAAUGUGUCUGAUUGGUUUCUGAAUAUCUGACAUAGCUCUUAAGUAUGACAUAUAGAAAUGGUUAUGAAUGGUAAUCUACAGAUUAAUCUGCUGUCACUCUAAGGGAUAAACUGGGUUGGACAGUUGCAAAUGGAUACAUUUGAUGAAACAGGCUCUAGUGCACAACAACUUACACUACAAUCAAUUAUCAGUCUUUAAAAUGACACAAGUCCCCUUGUGGUAUUUAUAAAAAUUAGGAUGAUUCACAAUAGGGUAUCAUUUGUAAGACACAAAUUAUUAUUGACAUCAGUGGAACAAUUCUUUCAUUCUAACUGUCCAGUCUUAUGCUAAUAAGACUAAGGGGACAAUUGAACAGGGCCCCUGUUUGGUAGUCGUAGAGCUUAAUGGAGUGGUCCAGCCAAUAUUGCAUCCAUAGUCCCACUGAUCGCAUUGGCCCAGGUGGAAGGUUGGGAGGUUGGGAAAAGGUGAUGUGCUGGUGUGCUAAUUCCCGCACUGAUACCAUAAAGAGGCCUGGUCCAAGCCUGUUGUCAUCAUGUGAUGGUAGCAGGCUGGGUCAGAAUUCCAGUGUGGUGUAGUGGUUAAGAGCAGUGAACUCAUAAUCUGGUGAACCGGGUUCAAUUCCCUGCUCCUCCACAUGCAGCUGCUGGGUGACCUUGGGCUAGUCACACUUCUCUGAAGUCUCUAAGCCUCACUCACCUCACAGAGUGUUUGUUGUGGGGGAGGAAGGGAAAGGAGAUUGUUAGCAGCUUUGAGAUUCCUUAGGGUAGUGAUAAAGCGGGAUAUCAAAUCCAAAUUCCUCCACCACCUCCUCCUCCUCCUCCUCCUCCUCUUCUUCUUCUUGCCCCGCCCCUGAAAUGCUCCUGUGGCAGCGAUUUGGGUGGGCAUGGGGCUCCCCUGCUGGCAGAUCUGAGCAUGGAGGAUUGGUGUUGGCAGGGUUGGGUUGCUCUUCUCAUGGGCAAUCCUAUUCAUGCCUACUUGGGGGUUAAUCUAGAUGAACGCACUGAGCCCAUCUUUUGAGUAAAAAUGCUUAGAAUUGCAUGGCACAGGUCUGUAAGAGUUUUACCUUCAGGUUCCUCCUUGUUUGUGCUCCCUCUAGAAUGUCUGUUAUUACCACCACAAGAAACAGGUCCUCACUUUAGGACCUAAUGCAUGUGUACAUGUCAUGUUUUUGUGCGUAUGGUAUUCCUAUUUAUUAAUGAAAUAAACCAAGAGCCACUGCUAGUGCGGGAGCUCAGUGUACAAAUCAGAGUUUUCAUUCCUGCAAGAGAUCACCAGUUCAGGGUGAGAAUAUUGGGCAGUGCAUAGAGUUGCAUUCAAUAACACUUCCUUUGUGUUAAUGUAGUUAGUGUGUAAUUGCUGUAUUUGGACUUGAGAAGAGAUUUAUUAGCAAUCCGCUGAGGACCAAUUUACAUAAUCAAACAUUUUUUCCUCUGGCCAGUGGUUGAUUGCUCCAUCAGGUGGCUCUAUUUUUCAGAGGGGUAGCUAUGCUAGUCUCCUGCAGCAGAAACAACAAAAAGUCUUGUGGUACUUCGAAGACUAACACGUUUUAUUAUGGUGGCAACUUUCAUGGUCUGGAAUCAGCUUUGUCAGAUGCAUGAAGUGCAGUCCCAGUUUGGAAGGUGUAUAUAUCAUGAGGGUGUAAAGGAUACAUGCAACACAUCAAGUAGGAAUUGAACGCAAGGAAUUGCAAAAAGUACAGUCAGUGACAAUUCAAUUAGAGCUUAAAUGUUUACAAAAUAGUAUCAGUAACCCUUUACACCACUACAGUCACUGGAGCCUGGUCCACUAGAAUCAAUGGGGCACUGCCCCAGUACCUCAGUCUGCCUUCAGCAAACCCCUGUUUUCUUACCAUCAGGGAAUGGUGGCAGUUCUGCCUGUCAUUGGCUGUGGUUCCCACCUCCUGAUGCCCCCAUUGCCUUCUGCCCCACCAAGCCUGAUGAGCAAUGAGCACCAGCCACCACUGACUACAAGUGGAAUUUACUUAACAGUGCCAGAUGUUCAUUUUAUUACCAACCUGUUUACAGUAACAGACUGGUGAUAACACAGUCAGUUAACAUUGCCAAGUAAAUCACAUCCUGAGUGCAACAGGAAACCACUGUCUUUAUUCAAACCCAAAUGGAUAAUAUUGAACUUCCUGAGGAGUUGUAAUUCAGCAGUUUCAUGGUGGAGCCUCCCUUUGAGGUUCCUUUGUUCUGGACAGUAACAACCUCACAAGUUGAAACGCUCUCCUGCUGGUAUAUUGCAAUUUCUGCUGUCAGAUUUGUGUGCAUUUAUUAUUUGAUUCAGGGGCUACUGGCAUAUACAUUUAUAGCCACGAGGAGGUUUGGGGGAAAAUUAUUUCACUGUGUACUGAAAACCUACCUGGCCAAUUAACACAGAGAUCAUAUAGCCAUUUCCCCAUGUGGACAAGUAUAGUGUCCAAUGAAUUUGCUGAGUGGCUGGACUUAGUUUUCAGCCAUGUGAAUCAGUCCUACCCAGUCACAGUGAUAAUGACAGAGAAUGGGCUUUCAGCUUAAAUCCAAGCACUCUGCCUUAAUUUUUUUAUAUAGAAAUGUGCUGCUUAAUACUGCUAUGUGAUUUGUCCAGGCAACAUUGCUACUAAUAGGUUGUGCAUAAAUUAUGAUCGCUUAAGAAUGGCGGAGGUAUUUCCAUUUUGCACCUUGGCUAUUACAGCUGCAGAGAAAAUGAACAAAAUGAGAUUACAAACUUAUAAAUACAGGGUAUGCAAUGGAGAGGGGGGAAGUCGGGUGGGGGACGUAAAAGAGAAGCAGAGAUACAACCUUAACUCCAGCCAUACAAAUGGUCCUGCUAUUAUUUACUAUGGUAACAUUAUAAAAGACUACACUGUUUGGGACCAUUAUCCUUCCAGCUCCCUUUUCAGUACAAAUCAUUAUAUUUAUUAUCUGUCGUCUUGUAUAGAGGGUCAUGAGAAAGGCCAAUCGAAAGCAGAAGAAGCCUGCUUUUCAGAAGAAAAUUGGACCUAUUUCUAAUUCUCUUUCAUUCUCAAGUACAAGGAAGUGCAGACUUUUUUUGUGUGAAAAAUUGUUUCAUGCAAGAUAAAAGUACAGAUUAUCGGUGAGAAAAUGGCACACUCUUCCUGACACCUUGCAGAUUCUUGGGAGAUAUUGCCAGUUUUCCUAAAAGAUUUUUACCUUUCAUAUCCUGAAAAAUAUGUUUCCUUAUAGGUGCUGAGCAGCAGGUGCCAGAGUUUAAGGUAUUAUUUUUGAAUAUGUUGUAUAUAAGGGAUAUCAAUGACUCGGCUGUAUGUUUUAACAAUGUAGUCCCUUAAAGUAAAUACCAUGUUGUAUAUCAUGGAGGAAAUGGAUGUUUUUUUGCAAAUGUGUGCCCAGCAUCAAGGUUCAGUUUGUAGGCUUCUGUCUGCUUUUGUGCAUAUGCAAAUAAAUGAAAUUAAAAUAUGGAUCUUGCCUUUUUGCAUUGCAUGCUUUCCGCCACUUUCUGCACAGUUACAAUUAGCUUGGCCACCAGAGGGUCUCUGAGAAAAGAAUGGUCAUGGUAGGCCAAGGCAUUCAUACACACACCAAUUCCCCAGGUACUCUGCCACUCAUCUUACUGUCACUGCUGCCCAUCCUUCCACAUUUUGUAUUUGAGAAGCAACGGUGGGCAGCGGGGUCAACAGUCAAAAGCUGUAUAUGUGUGUGUAGAAACCUCUGAUGUGGCUGAAAUGUAGCCCAUUGCACUUUUUCAUUUGGCCACGCCUACUGCUGGCAUGUGGCCUCUGGAGCAUUGCCCACAAGGGAACACAGCCCUCAGGUUAAUGAAAAUUUCCCACACUGCUCUUUCUUUCCCACAUUGCCUUCCAUGCACAGUUCCCCACGUAGGUGCUGCCACAUUGAAGACAUGACAUUGUGUAGAAUAGACCUCCUGAUAAGAUGGCGACCCUACUGGCAACAGGCCCAAGGGGGGGGCUGGUUUUUAAGCUCCCUGACUCAGCCAGGCACUGAUGUAAGACCCUGCAAGGGUACGUCUUUCUUUGAAGUGUAGCCUUAGGAGAGGCCAUAGCUCAUUAGCAGAGUGUCUGCUUUGCAUGCAAAAGGUCCAGUGUCUCCAGGUAAGGCUGGGAAAAAUUCUUGCCUGAAAUCCCACAGAACCACGGCUGGGCAGUGUACAUAGUACUAAGCAAGAUGGACCAAUGGUCUGACUCAGUGUUAGGCAACUUCCCAUGUUUCUCUCUUUAGUCAGGGAGGAAGGCACAGCUCUUCCAGUGCUCAGCUGUCUCAGGAUCAGCAGCCCAGGGAGGUGGCAAAAGCAAACAUCUCAAGGGCUGUGGCAUCUUAGAGCUAAAUACACUUCAUGUAACAUGAGCACGUAUAUUCAGAUAGGUGAAUGACAUAUCUCACAAGUGUCCCAGAAAAAAUGGGACAUCCCGUUUUUCCCCGUGAGAGCAUGGCGGCCAUUAGAGUUGUUGUGAUCUUCCACAAUUUUGCGCCAAGAUCUUGCCCAGAAAAAAGUGCUUUUGGGGGGCCUGCGAUCUCAUGUGGUAUUCUAUAACACCUGUUUUUGGGCGCCAUGAGAGCAUGGCCCUGAAAAGGUGUGUCUUUUGGUUUCCAUGAUCUCACACAGAUCACGUGACUCAACAUGUUGGAUGGCAUGGAAUGAUGUGAGUCUAUGCAGGGCAAUGCAAAGCUGGUAAUAGGCCCAGGCCAGAUGGGAAAUGUAGUCCCCACUUCAAUAAUAUUUACGAAAGGGUCCCUCUUUGCCUCUAGCAGGGGGACUUGGAGUAGACCCCAUCAAAGUCCGAUUGGCCCCUCUGGCCCCAUUGCUUUGGCUUGGUUUUUUGCAAGCUCAGUGGUACUAGCACGCACAGGCCUGCAGCCAUAGGAGAGGUGGUAGGUUACCACUAUUAUGACUUACCAUGUCACCAUCACCUACCCCGACAGAUUGCUUCAGUGCAGCUGCCCCAUGCAAUAAGCCAAAAUCCUGCUAUGUACCUUGCUUAACUACAAACGUUUGUUGCCGCAUGACUUCAGUGCUUAUGUAGGGACAAAUGCCACCUCCUCUUAACUGGUAAUGCAUCAUUCCAAAAUCUAGACAAGACGUAUAGGACAGCCCUCACCUAAGCCAAUGGCCCGGAGCAACUUGUAUUUUUUCCCCCACGAAGAGGGAAGCAAUUUAUUAAAAACAUGUUUUGGAAGUAUGAUGAGUCCAUAUCAGUGCUGGCGGUAUGCUCCCAUUAUCAGCUAGACAACUUUUGUUAAUUCUGUAAAUAUUUCCAGCAUUGUAAACACUGGGCAGUGUAGUGGCUGUUAAUACAAAGUAGGCAAAUUGUCUGAUGAAUUCAUGUAUAAAGAGACAAGACUCUGGGAUCAGAAGUUUGCUGAUAAUUCAAACAAAGCUCUGAGUUGACUUGAUUGCCAACAGUUUUUGAGAAAUAUCCAUAGGACCAUAAAGUGAUAAAUUCUUCCAUUAGUUCAUAUGUGGCACUGACAGUUUACUGACCUGAAUUUUAUAUUAAGAAAGUGGAGUUUCCAUAGCUUUCCAUAGCUUUUUCAUUGUUGUUCAUGCAUGUUCAAAAUCAGCUUAUAUAUUAACACAAAACGCUCCAUUCUAAAAGAUUUUACAUGUGGUGUGUGCAUACCUGGAGCUUUAUUUAAUUGAGAGGCACAACUGAUUGUCCACAUCACUUAAAACAGGGGUCAAAUGUGGUCUUCCAGGCCUCUAUAUUUGGCCCAAGACUCUCCCUAGUUCACACACCCUCCCACAGGCCACACCUUUUGCCUAAAUGGAAUGAAAUCUAUGAUAAUGCCUCUUGCUUACAUGUAAAGAUAAUAGGAAAUUUAUUUCUAGUUUUAACAUGCCAUAAGAAGACUGACUUACUUGUUGCAAGUUUAUUGCUGGUUGAAAAGUAUGUAUUUGUGCCUCUGUUGAGAUACGUUAUUUCUCAGGUCACAAAUUCAGCUAUUACUCUGAUUUUAGCUGAGGAUGGGUAGCACAUACAGCUAAUUUGCAUAGUUAGACUUUAUAACUGCAUUUGAAUUUGUCUUUAUUUUCCUAAUCUUAGUCCCAAAAAGUGAUCAAAUGCAGAAGCAGUUUUCUGUAGGGCACAGCAUUUAGUUAUUUAUUAUAUAGUAAAUAAAGGCUAUUUAUUAUUCAAAAUGUCUUUCUGUCCCACUCUUCUUCCAUUAGAAAACUCAAAGCAGCCAAUAGCAGGAACAUAAAUAAGAAUAAUAUUCAAGCAGUACUAUAUAAUAAAAUCAGCAGCCAGAACAGACAACAGCUGUGAAGAAUAUCCAGCUCAUAAGCGCUAAAACAAAACAGAAAAACCUCCAUAAAUCCCAACACCCUGUUCCCUGCCUUGCUACUGGACCAUGAAGGAGGAGAAGGCAUUAGAAGCUAAGGCUUCAGCAGCAGUCUUGCUAGACAGGUGGUGGGAGACUGCCAUCCAAGACCAGGCACCUGUUCCGGUGCUGCGUAUCCUCCACGCCCCUUUCCCCUCCCCCAGUCACCCCACCCACGUGGAAGCAGAUCUCAAUGUCUGUAAUUGUCAGCAUGGGUUCCUGCUAAAAGCAAAAAUUGCAGGAAUAGGUGGCAGAUCAAGUGUUUCAAAUAGUAACCCUGGAAAACCACUCAGACCAGCAAGGAGGUUACUAAGGCUGUACUAAAGCACAUCUGUCAGGAACAGAGAUGGAUGAAUCUGUUCAUUUCAGAUCUCUGUUUUCUUGUUCCCCAACACUUAAAUUCAAGUUCUCUACAUUUCUGCAGCAAUCUGUGAUUAAAAAAGAAGAAGAAUUACAAUAAAAAAGCUCAGGAGAAUCUGCUGGUAUUUUAGUGCAACUUUCUCCCACUAAACAUUUUUUGUUUUGUUUUGACAGAUACACACAUUUUUGCAAGCAAUUCCCACCACCUCCACCACCAUAAUGUAUUUUUGUAUGUGGUGUUUACUAAUAUAUGCAUUCAUGCACACACUUUAAUAAAUGCAUUAUUGUCCUUGUUAUUCAGCUGGAGAACUGCAUUGCAAAAUUUGUAUAACAGUGAAACUGUAUGGAUGAGUGGGUUUCACUUUGUGUACUGUUUCAGAUAAUGUGAAUUAGGUAGGUUCACCUUUAAAAGCGAACUGAAUCAAAUUUCUCCCCCAUUCCUAAUCAGUAAAGAAGAAUAUUAACACAAUGCAGGCGAUUCAAGUAAUCAUGUUCCGAGCAUGCGUCAGCUGCAACGAUCAGAUUUGCCAGCUUGGGUUGAUUAAUGCCAAUUAUACCAGCGUGAAAUCAGGACAUCAGCUUGAAAGAUAUCAUAUUAUUAAUCACAAACAGUACAAGGGUGCCCAACUUUGAAUAAAAAAAAAAAAUACAUCGCUUGUAAACUUUGUCAGUAUCACUGUUUAGAACUGGGCUUUAACAAGCUCCCCAUUCCUUCUCUCCAUCAUAUAUUAACCCGCUCCCCAUUCCUUCUCUCCAUCAUAUAUUGUUCGUAUCGUACACCAGGAGCAAACAAUGCAGAUGGGGAACUGACAGAAAAGCCUUUUAAUAAUUAAAACUUUGGAUGCCUAAUAGCUCCUUUCAUCAGAGAAUCUCAAAAGAGUUUCACAAACAUUAAUUAAUUAAAUAAGCCCCCGAACUGCCUUGUGAAGUUGGCAGGUGGUAUUUUACCUCAUUUUGGAAGAAAGUAAAUUUGACAUGGGGGCACACAGAAGCUGUGCCAUAGCAGCUAGAGACAAAACCCUAUUAUCCUGCCGUAACAAUAUGCAUGAAAGUGUGCUUGUUAGAACUCCAGGGCAGACCUGCCCAUCUUGUGAUGUACUGAGCUGAAGGCAGCCCAGCUGCUUUGCACUGCUUCUUCUUAACCCUGUUUUCUUCAGCUCUGUGCAACCAGCAAAACCAGAAGCUUGAUCAAAAUCCUAGUGGGACACCACUGGAUGUGUUAACUCAGCUGCAUCCAACCUUUGCUUCUGCAAGACUUCCCUUUGCCAGAUUUUGCUUAGUUUCUUGCUUCGUGAUUUUCUGCUGAAUUCUGUUUCUGUUGAAUUUCUGUUGAAUUGUCAUAGCAUCAACACAAGUAAACUACGGUUUAGCACUCAAGCCCUGCUUUGUAGGCUUUUCAUAGUCAUCUGGUCGCCAUGAGAACAGAAUGAUGGACCAGAUGGGGCUUUGGUCUUAUUUCUGCUAGCCCUGACAUCUCGCCAGGCCACACCCUUCAUUGGUCCUGAGUACUUUUGCCUGACUGGGAUGCAUCCUCAAACUUAACAAUGCCUCUUACUUUUCUGGAUGGAGAAUAUGUGUUUUGUAGAUGUAGAAAGAAAUCGUUGGCUACCUGGAAUACAGCCUACUGUGCAAAGAGACACAUCCAUUGUUCCACCCGCUUUUUGCCUCUGGUUCCACCCACUGUGUGUGGCCCCCAGAAACCUGCCUGGGGGGAAUUUGGCCCUUGGGGUUUUAAGUGCCUCCUACCCCUGCCCUAGUAAUGCUCUACAUUUGGAAAGGCAAUGCACAAUGCCCUAAGAGCCUACCCAGCUAAGCAUAGUUUCCAAAUCGGUCAUGGGAUGGCAGCCAGAAGACAACCCACUUGGCCAAUCCUGCUCCAGAUAGCUGUAUAGCUAACAAAAUCCAGGCAGCUGACCCGCAUUGGCUUUCAAAGGCUCAAUAUAAGAGAACUGGAUUUUGAAUAAGUCUCUGAAUAAAGUACGCUCAGAGUGCAAAAAAAUGUAAUUCUGUCAAUAAAUAGCCAAAGUAUGUAAGGGAGACGUGUGCUCCCUGAAUAGACUGGAAACAUUUUGCAGGAGUCAUCUGCCUUUAAAUCAUCAGCCUUUACUGAUAAACAGUUCAAUAGAAAUCAAGCAACAUUUAAAUCAGAUAUGAAGUAUCCAGUCAGAAAGAAAUGCUGUUAUAAUGACUCCUUCUGUGCUUUGUAACUUUUCCAGGCUCUCCCAUGGUCUCAGACAUUAUGUUGGCCUUCAGUGCGAUAUGGCACAAAAAGCAGAGUUAUAUCAUAACUCAUCAAAGGUCUAUGAAAAUUCAUUUGGAUCUGCCACCAGCUAUCAAUUUAGACAAGAAGUGUAUCUGAUUCAGCUUAAUUAGAGUGGACGAAAGCGUAGAAAACAGGUCAUUGUCCGCUGUCUUUGCAAAUCAGGAGAAAGGGAGGGGGGGCCACCCAAAACAGAACCCUGUAUUCUGAAGCAUUUAGAGAUAACUUAGUGCAUCUUCAGUCAUGAGACAGCUCUGUGAAGUUUGACAAGGCAUGCCGCUUCUUCAACAAAUCAGCAAAACAUGAUAUAAUCUUAGCUGUGUGUGUUAUACCAGGUACCUGAUCUGCAGGUGUACAAGGCAUGGAAAAUGCUUAAUUCUCUACUCUGUUUAUCAAGGAAGUUGGCAGAGACCAAUUAAUCUAUAUAGUCAUUCUUGCACAGGUGUACUGCCAUAAUAUUUAGACAGACUCAAUUUAUAUUAAAGGUAAAGGGACUCCUGAUUGUUAGGUCCAGUUGCGGAUGACUCUGGGGUUGUGACGCUCAUCUCGCUUUACUGGCCGAGGGAGCCGGCGUACAGCUUCCGGGUCAUAUGGCCAGCAUGACUAAGCUGCUUCUGGCAAACCAGAGCAGCGCACGGAAACGCCGUUUACCUUCCCACCGGAGUGGUACCUAUUUAUCUACUUGCACUUUGACGUGCUUUAGAACUGCUAGGUUGGCAGGAGCAGGCACCGAGCAACGGGAGCUCACCCUGUCACAGGGAUUCGAACUGCCGACCUUCUGAUCAGUAAGCCUUAGGUUCUGUGAUUUAACCCACAGCAGCAUUAAAGCAAAAUUAGAUUUCUUCAGUCAAGUAUUCCAAAGGUAGAAAUGGGAAGACAAUGAAACACUGUAGAUAUCGAUGUAAAUUGCAUUGUGAUUCCUUCCAGAAAAACAAAAACAAAAAUGGAGAAAACAUGUGGCCUAAGGCCAGUGAUAAUAAAAACCAUGCAAGGGACUUAGGGCCUCAUGAAAGAUGCUAGAAGAACUAAUACUUGCAGAAAUAUUAGCCAAGGACAGGACUGAAUUCUUUGAGAAGGAGAUUGUCAGGUAGUGAAUCUGUUUCUCUCUCUCUCUCUCUCUCUCUCUCACACACACACACACACACACACGUAAAUACCUCUUGAGAAGCUGCUCCACACUUGGAAGUGAAGGGUGGGCCAAGGAGCACAAUUCCACUCCCCUGCCCACAAGCUCCCCUCUGCAUGGACAGACAUAAGAAGGGCCUGCUGGAUCAGGCCAGUGGCCCAUCUAGCUCAGCAUCCUGUUUUCACAGUGGCCAGCCAGAUGCCCAUGGAGAGGGAGCCCACCACCAGGUUUAAAGCACAACAACACUCUACUGUGGUUUCUAGCAACUGGUAUUCAGAACCAUGGAGGCAAAAGAUAACCACCAUGAGAAAUAGCCACUGAUAGCCUUACUGUCCAUGAAUUCGUCCAAUCCUCUUUUAAAGGCAUCCAAGUUGAUGGUGCAGGAGGAGACUCUUGAGAGCCCCAUGGACUGCAAGAAGAUCAAACCUAUCCAUUCAUCAGGAAAUCAGCCCUGAGUGCUCACUGGAAGGACAGAUCCUGAAGCUGAGACUCCAAUACUUUGGCCACCUCACGAGAAGAGAAGACUCCCUGAAAAAGACCCUGACAUUGGAAAAGAUUUGAGGGCAUAAGGAGACGACAAAGGACAAGAUGGUUGGACAGUGUUCUUGAAGCUACCAGCACGAGUUUGACCAAACUGCGGGAGGCAGUGGAAGACAGGAGUGCCUGGCGUGCUCUGGUCCAUGGGGUCACGAAGAGCCGGACACGACUAAACGACUAAACAACAACAACAAAGCUGAUGGCCAUCAUUGCCUCAUGUGGCAGUAAUAUAGAUAUAGAUGGGGUGGGUUGGAGUAACUGGAAUCCUGAAGAGAAGCAUGCCACACCACAUCAUUUUGUUGCUGGGCCUCACUUGUAUUAUUUCAAAUUUAAAUGUGAGCAAACACUGCACACCAGCCUCUGUGUGUGAAGCAUGCUGUUACGGAAAUCUUUCCUCAAAGAUUUAAAGACAAUCCUCCUGCUUUCUUCCAUAUUCACAGUAAUAUGUAAUCCUGUUAUUAUUUCAUCUAGGCCAUUAUUCAGAACAGAACAACACAGUUGUUGAUGAUGCCUGCUUAAAGGUGACUUUCAUUUUCACAUUGACUUCACUCUGGACAUGUUUGGAGGUCCAUUCGGUGAAAUAAAAUUGCUUUGCAAUUAUUUUUACUUAGAGAAACAUGACAGGUCGAAUUUUUAUGUUAAUUAAUCUCUGUUAUUAUUGUGUGACUGCAAAUCAUAAAUUUCCUUGCAAUCCAGCAUUAAUACAUUCUAUAAAUUAUUGUAAUUUCUCCUAUCCCUACCAUGGACUUGGAAAUAGUUAACUUCGGGUGGGUAUCUAUUUGUUUACCCUAAUGCCUUAUGAAGUGUGGAUUUGGAGGAAAUACUGUCUCUGGCAAUAGUUGCCAUCAGAAAAGAUAAGGCACAACUCUCUGAAUUCCCCUUACCCAAGUUAUGCUCUUAUUGUAAAUUUGACACUGUGUAAUCUUUGUGGUCAGGAGCUAGAAAACAUGCAAGGCUUAACAUAUCAUUUUGGUUUUAGACUUGCACUCAAAUUUGAUAUUUUUGUUAUUUCCUUGCCUAAGUACUAUUAAUUAUUUUUGUUUUGUACAUACCCCAAAGCAGCAGUUUAAGGCAGCUUUCACUGACUUGGUGUCCUCUAGAGCAGUCAGGGGCUGAUGUGACUUGCAGUGCAAACUGACUGGAGGGCAGCAGGUUAGAAAAGGCUGCCCUAGGAUGAAGCUAGAUGUGAUGGUCAACCACUGAAAAUAGACUUCCUCCAUUCACCAGAGCAUGCAGACAGGCUUCUCAAAGUUGUCGUCGUGUUUUCGUCCCCCUGCUCUGCAUAACAGGCUGCUGCUGCUGGCAGGAAAAAAGUGGAUAUUUACGGCAUAUUCAGAGCACAUUCUUCCCACUGCCCCCAAGAAUUCUGGGAACUGUAGUUCAUCCCUUACAGACCUACAAUUUGCAGCAUGUUGAACAAACUACAGUUCCCAGGAUUCUUUGAGGGGUUGUAUGCUUUGAAUGUACUUUGAAAACUGGGGUGUACACAGCCUGCAAAACCCCCACUAGACUCGUCCAGGGUGUCGGUAGACUCACUCAGAUAGUGAUGCCCGUGGAAGGGGUCUUACCCACUGGCCCUCAAAGACCUGGAGUUGAUACUAUUUGUACUGGUGCUGGGUCCACAUUUUCAGCAGAACGAUGUGUUAGCAUGCUGAGGUGGUGAACAGCGCCACUGUAGGUGAAAUGCAGGUGACCUUUUUCUUUUUUAAAAAAAAGAAAGAAAAAAAUAGCACAUGAAAGAAAAAAGGUUAUCUCCCAGCUCUUUCUUUGCUGCUAUGCUGAUUGUCUAUUUCCAGGGCGUUUUUAUCAAGGCAGGGAGCAGUUUUUCAAAAUAAAUAAAUAAAUAAAUAAAUGUGAUCCCUACCUGUAGUCUGAAGAGCCAGCUUCUGUUCCAACACUAUUCAAGGUGAACUGGUUGGUCCUUCUAUUAGACACCAUGAAGCAGACAACAUGGAGGGAGGCACACAACAUGGACUAGUCUUGGGUGUUAUUAAAAUAGUUUACUGCUGGUGAGGAGGAGAUGAAGUGGUCUGGUGCCCUUUGGAUUUGGGGCCAGACCUGAAGACAGAGAAGGGGCAAGUUAAAGAGACAUCAAGUGCUAUGGAGCUCCCUCUUGUUCCUUCAUCUUGUUUAGUUUUUUCACCAGUCAAGUUGGUUUGCCAGAAAGCUGGGUUUCUCAUAGUAAAUACUGUUUCACAAGAUCGGUCAUACUGCUAUAAAUUCUCAAUGCAAAUCUUCCACAGUUAUGUGACUUUUUUGGGGGGGAUGAUACAAUUCCAUUAUGUAUUUUGAAGACUAUUUGAGUUUCUGGGGCUCCUACCCCCACCUUGAAUGCUGGGAGGCUGCACUCCAGCCAGGCCUGCCUUAAUGCAUUUCCGAGUGCUGUGAAUGGGUCUUUUGGCUAAAGUCCAGCUCCACUUUUUUAUUUAAUAAAUAUUUUUAAAUAAUCAUUUUUCAUUUCUAAUUUAGCUCUCAGUGCAAAAUGAAGGUCUCACGCUCUAGGGUGGGUGUCAGCGAAGGGAUAAUGUUUGUGGCACAGCCGUAUACAAGGCAAAGAAAUGGCUUUUGUAGGGUGAUUAAAUGCUGAAGUGAAGCUGAGGUGUUUGAUAACCACAGAAGCCAUUUAUUGUGUGUAUACUCCAGUGCCACGAACAUCAUUUCUAUUAUACAACAAGACAAAGGAAUAUUCAACAAACCAUAACGAGGAAAGAAUGAGAUUGUUUUUUUCUUUUUCCUUUCUCCCUCCCUCACCCCCAUGGAAGUUUUAAAGUUUUCAGCUGCUGCUCCCUCAGAUUAGUCUUCUAUUCAUGUCCCAUUAGGGGUGGAGCUUAAGCCAAUCAAACAGGGGCGGCCUCUCUGGAAAACGAGAAUGGUGCCUGUGGAAGUGCUUAUCACUAGCGGUGUCAAUAUGUAUUUUCUGAAAAGGUAAUGCUGAUUCUUUCCCCCACUAUGCUGUGAUGGUUGGGGAAAGUGCCUUCUCUAGCUGUAUAAUGUGCUGUAACUGUUCCUCUUUGAUAGAGGAAGACACCAAGUCAUAACAUCUGGAGAGGGCGACUUUCGAUAUCUCUGUGUGCUGCUGCUUCUGUUACACAUUACUGCUCAGGAGGAUCACACUAGUCUCCUUCAUUAUAAGAGCAUUUUUAAUUUUGUUUUUAAAUAAUGAGGAACACAUUCAGGAAGGGGGGCAAAAUGGAGGCUUUGCAGAAUAAGCGUCUGCGAGAAAGAAAUCUGUUUUGUUCCAAAUUCACAGUGAAGAGUGGCAAAUAAUGAUAAUAAUAAUCGCAACUGAAUGUGUGGCUGCUGUUCUUUAAGCUUCUGAGUGAUGCCUUCUGUUAAGAUUCUCACAUUGUAUGACCGUACCCAAAAAGCCUGUGUGGUGUGGCAGAUGAGAACCUAGUAUGGUUGUACAGACUGUGAUAUUUGUUCUGGUUCUGUAAUUGCAAAUUUUCUUCUUUGGUACUUAUUUGUAUGGACAUGCAGGAUUCAGUUUUGUGCACUUUAUUAUUUAUCUAUUAAUAAUUGCAUACAAGGAGCUCAAGGAGGCAUACAUGACCACUCACCCUCCCAUUUGACCAUUUCAACAACCCUGAGUUAGACUGAGAGGCAGUGAGUGGCCCAAGGUCACCCAGUGAAUUUCACGGCUGUGUGAGGAUUUGAGCCCUGGACACCCAGGUCCUAGUCCAACACUCUAACCACUAUAUAAUAUUGUACACUAAACUCUAGCAACUAGACUACUUCCUCACAAUGAACAUUAGUGAUAUAGUGUUACUCCUAGCAAUAUACAAAGUGCAUUGACCAAGACCUCUUGUAGAUAUAAAUGUUUAUGUUUGUUCUGAGUCUCACUUGGGCUUCCAGUGAAGCCCUUCUACUCUGUGAGGGUCAAGCUCUGUAACCUGAAAGUUCAGCAUAACCAAAAGAUGAGGGAGGAGAGCAGUUCCUGAAACAGCAAUGUAGUAAUUGGUAAAUAAUAGAGUUAAAUAUUGUCUCCAGUUAGUAUGGGUUGAAGCUAAGACUCUACUCUUUGUUAUUCGGGUUACUUUCAUUUUCUUAUGUAAUUGUACGUCAGCCUGUUCACCAAUAAACACAUUCUUGUUUUGGGCCUACAAAAUAAUCUGAAACCUUGCCUUGUGUGAAAUAAGAACUUAACAGACAGGCUGGGCCAAACCUGGUAAGUCUUUCUGUCUUGACAUUUUCAUGGACAGGAACUUUUCAGGGGUACUGAACUAGAUUUGUUGUUCCUUUUCAUUCCCAGCUGCCUCCACUGAUGAAGAUAAUGUGUUUUUUGCAUUGUCUUAAGAAAACAGCCAAGGUCAGACUUUGGGAAACCAGUGGUAGGAAGGUGCAUUCCCAUUUCAUUUUCAAACCAUUUUGUUGAAUAAUAUUUAUGCUGCAAAAGAGACAGUGGCAGAAGAUUCAAGAUCUAUUGCUGCCAGAUUUAAUAGCCUACAUAGGUGGAUGUGGUCCAUCAGUACAAGCUUUCCUAACUCCUAGCAAUCUGCACAAAGUUUAGAGUAAUGCAUCAUUAACACCAUUAAUUUCACUUGUUCCUAUUUUAUAUAAUUAUUCAUCUCUAGAAGGAUUCCACAAACGUUCAGCUCUACAAUACAAAAUGCCACUGUUUACUUUGCUUAGCUUGCUGAACCUGAUCAUAUGUUUACACACAGAAAGACAUUUCCUCCAUAACAUGAAGUCUGCAGCCAAACUUGGUGAUUGGUGGUUUUCUUAACAUAUUUGAGAAGACAGGGUGUUUUAUGGUAACUUUUGGCAUAGGUUCUCAGCCCACAAAUUAGUAAUUAGGGUAAACAGAUCUGAUCAAAAUUAACUACUUGAUGGGAAAGGUAGCUUUUGGCCUAUCAAGAAAGUACGAAGUGCCAUUUGACGCUGAGUGGAUAAUAUUGCAAGUGGCAUCCUUCCCUCCUGGCUCACAGUCUUCCUAGGAACAUUUGUCUUGCUAGUUAUUGAAACACUAUGAUUUUUAAUGCUGGGGGGGGGGGGAAUGUCUUAGUAUAAACCAGGAGGCAGUUGAGCAAUCAAGCACAAAAAUGAUUUCUUGUACAAACAGCAGAGUGGCUAACCAGAAACUAUGUAGUUGAUACCUUUCUAAAUUCAAAUUAAACUUCUAAAACUUACAGAGCAACUGGCGUCAAUGAAAAUGAGCUGUAAUUUGAAACCUUUCCCCCCAAAGCUAUCUGAAUUUUUGAUAACUCUGUGUAGCCUUUGGAGUAGCACACACUGCCAUAGAGAUAGCAGUGAGUGUGUCUCUGCCUCCAACCCACCCACAGCAGAAGUUCUGGUUUAAAGGAGUUCAGGGUGUGCCCACUUACCUAUCUGAACUCUUCUGUCCUGAACACUUCAGUAUCCAAACAGAAGCGCGAAACACUUUCCAGGAGAUGCAAGGGAAGGGGAAGCACAAGUGACAUCUACUGCGGUGUAGAAAGUUAUAUUGAUGAAGACUUUCCAUGAGUAGAUCUACACUCCAGAUAGUUUGUGAAGUCACAGAAGUGUCGUAAGUUUGACAUCACAGGUUAUUUUACGAAUAGAGAAAGAGCAAGGUUGCGCCUCCCUUUCAUACCUUCUAAGGUGUGAUAACCUUGGGAAACUGUGUACAGUUCGGAUCACCACAUCCCAAAAAGGACAUAUUGCUAAGAAAGCUUCCAGAAAGGGCAACCAAAAUGAUCAGUGGAUGGAGAAAAUCCUGUAUGAGGAAAGGAUAUGCCAUUUGGAACUUUUUUGGUCCCUUCCAAUUCUACAAUUCUAUAAUUCUGUUAGUAAAGAGGGAUGUGAUAUAAAUGUAUGAAAUUCUGCAUUAUGUGUAGAAACCUGGUGCAUGGGGAUUCAUCCAGUGCAACUGGAUGUUGGGAGCUUCAGAACAGACAAAGGGAAGUACGUCUUUGCACAGCACAGAAACUGUAGAAUUCAUUUCCACAAGAUGUGGUGAUGGCAAACAACCUGGACAGUUUCAUGAAGGAUAUUGAACAAAUUCAUGGACUGUGUGGCUAUUGAUGGCUACUUAUAUAACUACUUCCCCUGUUAGAGGCAGGAGUGAGAGUGCUCUGUGGAACCAGUGGAAGCAAAAGUGGCUUGCCAUGUGGGAUGAAUCAAUAAUGCGAAGUUUCCAGCAGUUGCAUUGCUGGCACUUCCCAGAAUGUGAUGACGGUGCUGAGCAAGCCAGUAGCAAAGUCAGAGUUUUGCUGAAGCACCAGUGGAGCCAAUCUAGUGCUCCCAUUGGUCCACUGCACAGCCCUUCCCUCAUUACUGGCCCUCCUCUCCUCAUCCCAGUGAGCGGCAGUGAUUAUGCCGCCAAGAAGAUAGCAUUGUGGCACCAUGCUUGUGCUGUCUUUCAGUGGCACCACUCUUGUGCUCAUGUUUUUCUUGUGAAUUUUCUAUAUGUAUCAUAGCUGUCAACGUUUCCCUUUUUAAAGGGAAAUUCCCUUAUUCCAAAUAGGAUUCCUCGCAAGAAAAGGGAAAAGUUGACAACUAUAAUAUGUAUCUGGUUGGCUGCUUUUGGAAACAGAAUGCUGGACUAGAUUUGCCAUUCAAGUGAUCCAGCAGGGCUCUUCUUACGGUCUAUGUUUUUAAAAUAAUGGUCUAAUUGAAUGGAUAUGAUGCAAAAAGGCAGGGAGGGGAAAAGAAAAUAAGCAAAUCCAGGUACCAUGGGGCAAUUCUGGAAAGAAGGAGCAAAGUAGCAUUUGAUCCUACACAGGCUGAUGUUGCAGGUGGUGGCAAGGGGCUCAGUGUCUUACCUAUUCCUAUGAAGGAGCCAGGUAGAAUGGCUGCUGAUGGAGACUGUUCUUGAGGCAAGGAGCAUGUUGAACAUAAGUUCCAAGUAAGUCAUUUGAUUGAACUGCAAAAGCAGAAGAUAACUGAAAGGGGACUAGGGAUGGAGAGAAGUUCAGUUUGCUUCCAUUUUAAUGCGAACCCACCAAAACAAACUAUCGUUCAGCAUUUGCACUUCCCAAAAUUUUGUGAUGCAAGUUCUUCAGCCAAAAGAAUGUGUAAAAAAAAAGUAUAGAUUAGGAGAAACUGGGCAUAAAAAUUGAAACAUUAUUGUAAAUAUCAUACAAAACUGCAUUGUGUUAGGGAAAAUCCUUGCAAAAAUGUGCAUAUUAAGCACCAAAACACAUGACAUACGUGGGAGGAAAGGGAAUGUUGCACAGUAAUUACCCAAGUAACUACCAUUUCCAAGUAGCAAUGCAAGGGUAUGUGUGUAAAAAGAAAAAGAUUGACUCAAUUUAGAACACCUGGUUAGAAGUGAUUUCUUAUUCAGACCUUCACAGACAGCACUUGCAAUUGGCAAUGGCAAUCCAAGUAGGGUGGGGUUCAACUGUCUCUAAUCAGUACUGGUUGCACAGGUGUAAGCGCACGCCUGUAACAGGAUCAGGGUGAAAGUGAUUAAGACAAAGGUGCCAGUAACGCAAUAAAAUGACUUGUGCAGGUGGCAACGCACAGGUUAUUCGGACCAUGGUCUUCUUUGUUUCUCUCUCAGACGUUUUUCUUUCCUUUAGGGCUUACUAGAAAUUUGCAGGUGACGAGAGAAAGCUUCAUUCUGAUAAAAGAAUAGGCCAGCUUACUGAUUGCAGAAAAUUACACGAAGUUUUUUUUUUUUUUAAUCAAAGUCUCUGUGGUCUGCGGUCUGAUUUUCUAGGCCAGAUGUCAAAUGUUUUUCACUGAUGUCGAUGUUGAAGUAAUCAGUAAGCCAAUUCCAAGAAUGAGUAAGUGAGACUGUAAUAACAUUUCACUUCAGUAUUACAAAAGUCUUUUUUUAAAAAAAAAAUCCCCCCAGCUAUGAACAAAGUAACAGGACCCCUCAGAUUCAAUAUAAUUACACAAACCAUUACUUUGAAAUUUGUGAGACAUUUUUAUGUGUGGUCAAUUGCUAUAUACAUAUAGAUGGAAGGCCGUAGCAGAAAAAAUAUAUAUAUGCAAAAAUACAUUUACAAAGUUUCAUAUUUUUAAACAUUUACAUUUAAUUUAAAACAUAAUUGCAUUUUUAGUAUUUAAUCUAUUUUAUGAAGUUUAUCUUUGCUGCUACAAUAUUAAGCAGCAAUUGAAAAAGGGAAGGAUUCACCAGAAGAAAAGGCUUCAGUCUGAAGGUUAAAAUGGAGACAGAGAAGGAUUGAUGGAUGAUGAGCCAUUGUGAAUCAUUCCAGCUGAUCAUGAAGAGCCUGUUGUCAUUUAACAUGGAAGAACCAUGUUUUUGCACAUUUUGUCGGAUUCUUCUAAAUACCUUGCUUGCACAGACAUAUCAUAUGUGUUAACAGAUACACUGUUGUGUCAUUCUCAUUAAAUAUUUUGUGCACAAGGACACAAACAAAAAGCAGUAGUGUACAGUGGGGAGGUGCAUUGCUCAAUUUCCUUCUGAGCACGGAAUGUCCCUGCUGGUUCUUGAGAAGGGGAGUGGUAAGAUGUGGGGAGCUCAAAGAGGUAUGGUCACUAUGUUCCUGCUCCUAUGUCCAUGCUGAACUUGUCACCUGUAUCCCUCUCUGAAACUGGAAGCAGCUGCCCUUCAGCUACACCACCCCACCAACUGCUACUGGCAAAAAGAGCCCAGGACAAAGCAAAAUGGGGGUGAAGUUGUGUGGAGCACUGACUGCACUUCUGGAAAUGAAUAUUACCCAGAUUUUCUCUCCCCCCCCCAACUGCACUGGUUACCAGUUCAUUUCUAGGCUCAGUUCAAGGUGCCAGCUUUGACCUUUAAAGCGGCAGGUAUAAGCAUUGUGGUGCCAUCCAGAGGCUGUUAGGCUCCAACUCCCAUCAUCUCCAGCCAGCAUGACAAAUAGUCAAGUUUGAUGGGUGCUGGAGUCCAGCAACAUCUGAACAGCACCACAAUAGAUGGCUACCCUUGCCCUGAACAGACUAAUUUCAGUGUAUCUGUGCAAUCUCCUCCUUCCAAGUACGGUUUUCAGGGGUGACAACAGGAACUCGCUGUAUGUGGAUUCAGCCCUCUGCCUCGAAUACAGUUUUGCCCACACUUUGUUUUGGAUGCAGAUAUAUGUUGUCUUAUGUGAAUCAGGUGCUACAUCCAAACAAUAAGGUGCCUGAUGAAAUCGGGAAACUUUCCCCAGAGUUCUCUAUCUACACUCAAAUGGAGUUAAGCUGUUUCCCCCCCCUGCCUGCCACACAGCUGUUCAAGAGACAAGAGCCCUGCUGUUGUCCAAUGCUAACUCUACAACUAUGCAAAAACCACACGUUUCAUAAGUUGUAAGCCAGCUAUGUUACUAUAGGUCUUUCAUCCACCGACCUUAAACUGGCAGUAUGGCACUCUCAAUACAAGACCAGGUGCGGCAUUUCAGAAGGCAGAGGGGUGGAUGUUCAAAACGGAUUUAAUAUUCACAACUGCCAAGAUUCAGAUGCCCAUGUUGGGAUAAAUGCACCAUCAAAUUGUGAAGAGGCAAGCAGUGUAUCCUAAGAAUGAUUUAUUAUUUAUGCCUCAUAAUAACCACAGCAAUGUUAUUAGCACAGGUCAAACAGACACUUCGGUCUUUUUGUGUGUGCGCAAAAAGUAUUUGAAAUGAAGCAAUCCAUUUUAGCGUUUACACCAUCAGCACCCCUCUAUCCCCCCCCCCAUGGGUAGGAAAGCAAUAGCUUGUCCCCUCACAUUGAUGCUGCCAUCAACUUAAUAGCCCUCCUGCCCUUCUGUUUCCUUUAAAAAGGCCCACGGCACAAAGAGACCAUAUAGCAAUAUUGGAUAACACUGAAAGUUUGUCAUGCACUACUCUGUCUCAGCUUGCAACCACCUGCUCAGUAUUUCUCAACUACAGUACUGCACCCCCAAUAUGCUAAUGAUGGGUUUUAAUUGUAUUUGCAGUGUUACUUUUUGAAGUUUACUUACUCAGAUUUUUUAAAAUGACAAAAAGAAAGAAAGAAAAGAAAUUAAACCUCCGAUAGAAAGUACUUCUGUCUUUCUUGCUACUUUUGGGGGAAGCCAUGACUGCUUAAAGUGGUAUGAUACUACUUUAAAUGUCUAGUGCAGAUGGGGUCUUAGUGUCUGGGUCGCUCACUGGCUUAGGGACUGGUAUAGCAGCAACCACCUUGUAGCCCACUCUCACCGUCACCUAUUGAAACAAGCUAGAUAGGAACCAUUGUACGGAGUGCUGCAGGUGGCCCUUUUCUAUGUGCCUGAUGGAUAGGCUUUCACAAUUUUAUCACUGGGGUCCUAUCUUUAAAAUGGGGCCAGGAAAAUAUAACAAGCUGCUUCAUGGGAUUGCUGGAAAGAUGGAGUAAGAUACAGAUUCAAAAUACUUUCCCCACUAGUGUGAGCCAGUGUGGUGUAGUGGUUAAGAGCAGUAGUCUUCUAAUCUGGUGAACCGGGUUUGCUUCCCUGCUCCUCCACAUGCAGCUGCUGGGUGACCUUGGGCUAGUCACACUUCUUUGAAGUCUCUCAGCCCCACUCGCCUCACAGAGUGUUUGUUGUGGGGGAGGAAGGGAAAGGAGAAUGUUAGCCGCUUUGAGACUUCUUCGGGUAGUGAUAAAGCGGGAUAUCAAAUCCAAACUCUUCUUCUCUUCUUCUUCUUCUUACUAGAACUUUCAUAUAGUUAUAAUUAAUAACGGGGUGUGCAUUUGUGAGGAAGCAAAAAUAACAGAGCAGGCUUGGGUUGAAAAUCAUGACAGUAGACCACACAGAUACAAUUUGGAGGGUUUGCUAGCUCCUGACAAUGCACAUCAUUAUACUCAGAAUUUUGGGGAUUCCCAGGGGAGCCAUCUGUAUUCAGAUGACAUCACAGGGAGGGGGGGAAAGGAAAGAACUGAUUGCUCUAUGGCUGAUCUUUUAUUUUCAUAUAUCAGGUGUCACCUGUGAUUUCACAUCUCACAGGGGAAGACAGAAUUCAUCUGUCAUCUGCUGUUAACUGUAGUGUGUUUUUUUCCACUUAAAAGAAAGAGGCACUUGCAUUGGUUAAGCCCACAGACCUCAAAAUUUGUGGAAUUUGGUAGAAAAUAGGAUAAACUAUUUCAACCAAAUUGAAAGGUAGCUGAGCAAGAUCACUGCAGUAUUUCAUUUAGGGAGAUUGGGAAGCAUCUCUAAGUACUGUGCUAGGCUGCUAGCUACUACAGUAGGAAAAGGCAAGUGGUGGCUUGGAGGCCCUACUCCACACACACCCUGACUUACCAUAGGUCCCUCAGCAUAACUCCUAAUACCAAUACUCUUAAUGCCAGUACUAAUUCCCAUGUUAUGCAUUUCUAACCUUCUGUAUGAAUUGGUACAUGGAUUUGCUUAUUUUCCUCUUUCUGCCCCAUUGCCUUUUCUUUUUGUGACAGUUCAGAACUAUGAAAUUGAAUGCCAUUAUCUUAAAUAGUAAACUGUGCAUUGGCAGAAAGGCUAUUAAAUAAAUGUAGUGAGUGAGUGAGUGAGCGAGCGAGCGAACAAACAAACAAACAUUUCAUUUAUAUCCCACUUUUUCUUUCCGGAGCUCAAGGUGGUGUACAUGAUUCUCCCCUUCCUCAUUUAACCCCCACCACAACCCUGUGAGAUAGGUUAGGCUGAGAAGCAGCGACUGGCCCAAGGUCACCUGGUGAGCUUCAUGGCUGAGUGGCCAGGACUUAGUCCAACGCUCUAACCACUACACCACAAGCAGCUGUCCAGGAUUUCAGAAUUCCUUCCAAGUGAAGAUGUCAGGGACUUUUUUCAUGCAUAAGAUGUGUUCAGCCACUUAACUGUGGCUCAGUCAUUGCUAUAUAUAAAGCUAGUGAAAUAGUGAAUAUGCCAAAUGACAUGUCUGUGCAGACUACCUGGGCUGAUUUCAUGCCCUAGUAGUGUGCCAUUUGUGUAAUCUUGCCAAGUGCUAAGGAUGAAAAUCCCAGAGUGUAUGAUGUUGCAAAUUUAGUAAAACUAAGAAGAUAUGGGUCUGUCUAGUACUUGGAUGGAUAGGAGACUGCAUGGGAAUGCUGUGUAGCAGGCCUUGAGUUCCACCAUGGAAGAAAGGUGAGGUAUAAAUGAAUUCAGCAAAAUGGCUGCCUGAGUUUCUAUCCUGCUGCAAAUGAGAAUUCAUUCAUGAGCAGCCAUGGGUCUUUACAAUGUUUUAGUGUUGCUUGUAGCUUAGUGGCAUUGCACAAGUUUGCAAGUUCGAAGUGCCAGGUUUUCUGCAUCUGAGAAGGAUUAUAGCUAAAUUUAUAUGCUACUUUAAACUCAAAGUUUGCAUGAUGUUCCUCUUUUUAAAACUUCACAUAGAACAUUGGGGGAGGGUGGGGGUUCAGUCCUGAUGAAAAUCUUCCCAAUAUGGCUUUUGGCACAGGAAGGAAGUUCCCACUGUUGUCAAGGUGGCAGGUUUCCUCUCAUGCCACAUAAUAUCAGCUUUGGGAGGGUUGUUUCAGGGACUGGACUUUCAAUGACUGCAGACGUAUCAAAUCCCAAAUCAAAUCCCAAAUUACAGAUCACUGUUUGGCUCAGUGAAUGACAAGUUGCAUAGUCCUUUAUUAUGGUUAGUUCAGCUGCUGUGGAAGUUGGUGGCAGCAGUGAACUGGUGUAGACAAAACACUGUCCAUCCCUUAGUUAUGGUUAGGUGGCUUGGUUUGGGAUUUAAGCAUUGCACAUUCCCUAUCUUCCCUUGAGAAAAUUGCCAUCUUCCUCGUCUACAGCCUGAACCUUGGUUAGUUGUUAUGCCUUUCCCAUACUUAAUGCUAACCAGGGUUUGCUCCAGAUUGAAAAGCAGGUUUGGAAGCUGAUUAAAAAUGCUGGUUAGGAGAUUUGAUUUGAUUACCAUUGUAUAAUUAUAUCAUUGUAUAAUUACAGUGAUCAUGGGUUCAAUAUAGGAGGACUAUCCAGAAACAAUCUUGAUCUCCUAACCAUAGUUAAGGUGACACUUACAAAGCUCCAAAUUGGGCAGUAGUAGGCAGGUGCACAGAUGGUGAUAACCUUUCAUGUGUCUUUCUUCCAGGAGUGGCUCACCCAGAGGGACAGAGCUGUGGCAAUAUCCUCCUGGCAACCUUGCUGAUGGUUACCAAGAGGGAAAUGGGAAAGGCAGUUGUAAAAUCAGGCCAGUGCAGGUGCACCAGUGUAGCCAGUCCUGUGCCUAUGCAGCCCUGAUUUGAUCGCUGCCUGCCCGUCCCACAAAAGCAGCAGCAACACCAUUGCUGGAAGGCUGUUCCUGCACUUCUGUCCCAAUGGGUGAGCCACUCCUGCUUUCUGCCAUCCCCCUUUCUCUCUCUUUCCAUUCAGCUUUCCCCUCUUUUCCAGCCACAUCAAAUUAGGCCAAGGGUUGCAUGCUGCCCUGGGGGACGUAGGCUGCCCACCCCCAUAUUUGCCCAUGCAAAUAUGCCUGUACUUCUUAAUUAACCAGGUUUAAAAAAACCUGAGCACAUGCAUUCAUCUUCAAUAGGCUACACAACCAAGAAAACUUUAAAAACUUUGUUGAUCAGCAAUGCAAAUUCUCAUUCGCCCCUGCUUUUUUAAUUAACUUUUUAAUUUUCAAACACAAAGAUAGUGUUGAUGAUGACUGGUAAGCUUGGGCUGGAAGAUGUACUGAUCUAAUGCUGUUCUUUGGAAAUCUGCAGAGAAAUGAAUCUCAGGGAACAAAUGAAAUGAUAAUGGGAUUUCAGUUCAUCAGGGUUCAAUUCUGCAAAAUAAAUGUUCAGUUUCACAGAUUGUUUGUUGAGAAAAAGGUGUCUUUUGCUGUAAUGAACAAAACUGAUUGAAGACUUAGACAGCAGUUGGAAGUAUUAUUAUUAUUAUUAUUAUUAUUAUUAUUAUUAUUCCACCAAGGCUUCAUACAUUAUGUGGCUUGCUAAGAAAAGAUCUGCUGAUGGUCAUGAACUCACCUGCCCAGCUAUGUUGACCAGAUGCACAGAAUGACAGGGAUCUUUUGCCUUUAAUAGUUGUGCAGAAGAGGGAAUUACAGCAGAUGCCUCUUUUUCACCUAUGCACGAUAAACUCAAGUUCUUUUUCUUAACACAUCUUGACUCAUGAUGGGAUGCAGAGGCAGUGGCAUCAUCCCAGCAGUGGCGCUGCACCCACUGGGAUGGGGGUGAGGUGGUGUUGUGAGUGAUCAGGGGAGCUCUGGGUCAGCAAUGGCCCUGCAAGUGCACAUAAAAAGCUGGAGCUACCUUGACCUCACCACAGGUGCCUCACCCCAAUCCAGAAGUGUGCUGCUAGUGAAAGGAUGGCGUUGCUACACACACACACACACACACACACACACACACACAGAGUGGUACCUCAGGUUACAGAUGCUUCGGGUUACAGAUGCUUCAGGUUACAGACUCUGCUAUAGUACCAGAAAUAGUACCUCGGGUUAAGAACUUUGCUUCAGGAUGAGAACAGAAAUCGUGUGGCGGCGGCAGAGGGAGGCCCCAUUAGCUAAAGUGGUACCUCAGGUUAAGAACAGUUUCAGGUUUAAAACGGACCUCCAGAACGAAUUAAGUUCUUAACCCGAGGUACCACUGUACCUUGGUCUGAGCCAGCAGAAUUAUUCUUAAAUUACUGACUACAACUCCUAUCACCCCCCAAGAGGGUUUUGCAGGCCAAGCACACAGUAUGUGGAUCGGGGGCUCUGAAGCACUUGCAAUGGAAGAAACAAAUUUGCCUACACUUUAUGUCAUGCACAAAUGUGUGCCUUCUCUGUGAAGCUUCUUUCAUAUUUGUUUUCCAUUCUGGACAAAGGCUUGCCACACAGCUGUUAAAGGAGCCUGCUGUCCCCACACCAUCCUUAAACCAUACAAAGAAUUCGAAUUUCACAAGUUGCAAAGCAGUUAUUACUGUAGGUAUUUCAUCCAUUGACACUAGGUUGGCAAUACUGACAGCUGUGAUUCUUGAGCCUGUUUAGGUUCUAACUGCUGCUGGACAAUUUCCUGCUCUCCCUUCUUAUGGUUUGUUUGAUUCUUUAUUUAUUGCAAUUAUAUUCAAACUCAAGGGGCUCGUGGUGGUGUAUAUAGAUUGUUUUCCCCUCUCUCCAUUUUGUCCUUGCAGCAACCCUGUGAGGUAGGUUAGGCUGAGAGAAUGUGAUUAGUCCAAGAUUGACCAGCCAGCAUUAUGACUGAGUGGUGUUUUGAAGCUUGAUACCUUCAGAUAGAGCACUGUCCUCUGUAAAGUAGAACACGUGGCCACCCUUACCGCACGGGGCCUAGACACUUGACUUAGCCAUCUCUACUAUUUCCCAUCUAGCUUCCUCUUCCAGUCUGUCUUUUCUCUUCUUUUGCCACUUGUGUCAUGUACUCUGUUCUAGUAUUUGGGGGCUCAGCAAAGGGAGGGCAGUGUCCCCGGAAUCCCCACAUGCUUACACCUCACCCUCUUCACUGAUGGAGAAGACUUACCAUAAAUAAUUGGUUCAUUUCCCAGUAAUCAAUAGCCCUAUUGAAUAGCUAACAUAUGUAUUGUUUGCUAGCCAACCUGCAAACCCCAGGGGUGGACAUGGGGAUAACGGGUGGCUCUCCAGAGGCUCUUGAGCUAUAACGCCCAUCUUCUCAGUCCAUUGGCAAUAUUGGAUUGAGCCGCUGGGACCUGGAGCCUCCACAAUAACUCAAUAACUGAAGAACCUCAGGUUCCCACCUCUGCCAUAGUCCUUUCUGAGGCAUAAUGGGCCAGUUGUAUUUUCUCAGUUACCGAAUCUAGUUCCUCCUCAUUCACUCCACAUUUUUCUUUUUAUUUUGAGCAAUGCACAGUGUCCACACAGAAUGACACUGGAAAUAUUUUGCAGGGUGUAGCAGGAACAUGUGAAAUGCAGAAAUCAGACCAAAACAAAGAAUGUACAAAUAUACAGAGAUAAGGAAAGUAAACUAGCAGUGGUUACAUUUUCUCUGCUAGACAUAAUUGAUAUGUUUGCCUGUGAUUCACACAUUAUUUUAGGUUUCUGAGGGGGAGGGAGGAAUUUUUAUUGCAAAAUAUUCUGCAUUUAAAAUACUAUUUAAUUAUAGUUUGUUUCCUUAGGGAUUUUAUCACCAUGUGAUUUAAUUUGGUAUAGGCCCUAAGGGGCAGCAUAUUUUCAAUUAUGGAAUAUUUCCUCCAGAAACAAUAAUGGUUCAAUGAUUUAUUGCAGGAUCCUAUUAUAAGGUGGCUCUUGCAAGUGAAACUUGAAUGCAAUUGGCUUAACAAUAUAGCAUAGACAGCACUAAAAUGCACACGAGCAGAACGCAUGCUUUCUGCACACAAGGAAAAAAAAUAUUCGUAUAAUACUUUUGCAUAAUACUUCAAUUAUUAUAUCGGUUUUUUAAAAAGGGGGGGAGUUGGAAAGCUGAGAGCUAUGAAACAUUUACAUUAUUAUCUCUUCAAAAAGUUCAUUUUUGGACAAGUAUCAUUUGGAUAGGGAUUAACUUAAUCAGAGAUUUUGAAUCUUCUUUACUUUAAUUUCUAAUCUCUUUUUUUAAAAUAUAUAUAUAUAUAUAUGUCUGAAUCUUAAAAAGGCCUAAACCUGUAGUCACAAAGCACUGCUUCAAAAAAAGGAGAGGAGGGGGGAGAGGGAAAAAAGAAAGUUUUAAAAGCAACCACCAGCUGUAAGAGAGAUAGUGAAAGCAGCAGAUUUGUGACAGAGCAGAGCAUGAAACCCAUCAGCUGAUGAGUGAAAAUCCCUGGUUUCUAAUUAAUCGAGGUACACAGGCCAAGGGAUGAAGAGGAUCAGGGAAAUGAAAUCAGGAAAAAGAUACCAUCAGUCAUUUCUGCGGCCCAUUGUCAUACUUCAGAAUCUGCUGUAAUGAAUCACUCAGGCAUUCCAGAGAUACAUUCAAAUGGUGAAGAAAAUUCAUUGUCCGGUGAAGAGUGUUUGAUAAAAAUCUCUCUCCCCCCCUCUUUGUCAGAAGCCUAUGAUCAGGAAAAGAAGGGCGGGGGGGAGAGAAAGGAAAUCCAGACAGCACAACAGGUGUGCUUCAGCAAGCCUGCUGAAAUCUGCAAAUGAACGGAGAUACUAAAGAAUGUUUUUGUACUAAAAUUUCACCAAAAUGGAGAAAAAAGAGUAUCUUGUAAUAACAGGCAGCAGGAGAAGGAGGGGAUGGGGGAACACCAGGGAGCGGAUGGGGAGGAUACACUGAGGAUUAAGUGGGCUGAAAAGAUACAACUUUUAUUCCUGUUCGGGGAAAUUUUGUCUGUAUUAAAAAAAAUAUUACGGGGGGGGGGGAGAGAGAGAAUGGAGUAAAUAUAUAGAGUUUAACAUUUGCAGUUGCCUUAAAAAAAAGACAACCCAUUUCUAAAUAAAAGGCAUUUUAGUGUCAGCCUCAGAGCUUUGGUGUUUCUUUUUCAGAAUGUCCCUCAAAGCUUUGUGGUAAAUUUUCUUCUGCACACAGAGAUUUAAAGGAUGAGCCCCUCUUCCAGAAUGUUCUUUUUAGCCCCUGUAUGCAUUGGGAUCCCAGAAAUAAGAACUUCAUUGCAAAGUGGGGAAAAGCUAAGGAAUUCCUGUGAUUACACACACACACACACACACACACACAAACACACAUUACACAUGCAGCCUAUUAUUUCACAGCUUGCUCUGAAUGUACAUUUCACCUAUGGUUCAACUUUUUGUCCGUGAACAAUUCCUUUAGGCAGUUCAAAGUAGCCUGCACCAUUAGGUGACAUCGGAAGAUAAUUGUUUUUAAAUAAUCAGGUACUGUACUGAGACAUAUAAGGAUAGCUGAUUCAUUUUAAAUUUAAUUACCAUAAUAUAGGGUUUCACUGUCUGCAGUAUCAAUCACUAAGACACUUUAUAGUUGAUAAUAUUAAAAUGGCAACAAUAAUGAGAAUUUCUACUUCAUGAUGAAAAUAAUUUUAAUCACGGGUAGAUUACAAAUCCAUUUGCUGUUACGGUUACUGAGGAUUCUAUUAUCUGCCUUCUAUUGUGAAAGAUGUUAAAACUUGUUUUCAGGAAAUGUAAAAGAUUAUAGAUGUAUACAGCUUGUGCAAAUUUUCCAACCAAGCUCAAAUGACAGACAGAGGAGUGGUUUGAAUUCUGCAGCUAGAGGAUGCAAAGCUGUUGAUACCAGUUUCAUGAUUCCCUCUAAACCUGACUAAAAUUGCCUGUCUUUGGGGGCUCGGUAUAUUCCUCCCUUAAGGGGGAAUACACAGUUAACAAGAGAGGAACACAUCUCCCCUAUUUUGUAUGCUGAAGUCCUCAUUCCUCCCAAACAGUGCAAAUACAGAGCCUCUCAAGUUUGCCAGAGGGGGCACUCUUGAUGGUGCCACCACCCUCAGAGGUUUUUUGGGGGUGGCAGCCUGGGAAAGGGCAUUCUCUGUGGCAGCCCCUAGGUUAUGGAAUUUUCUCUCCACAGAGGUGUAUCUGUCACCUUCACUGCAUGUAUUUCGUCAUAUGCUGAAGACUGACCUCUUUGCCCUGGCCUUCGACACUAGAGACAUAUAUGGUUAGGGCCCAACCUGUUAUUCUGACUGUAAAUUGGUUUAACUGUCUCUCACUCACCCUAAGAUCUUAUUGUGAAGGCAAGUAAGAAUUAUUAUCUUUAUCGUUAUCGUUAUACAACAAUAACAGCCAGUCAAACUCUUCCUCCCCAUAAUAAUUCUUGAUUCUUUCCAUGAUUGAGCUAUCAUGAAGAACUUAAUGUCUGACACAGAAUAGCUCAGGUAUGGGAAACUGGUGCCCCUCCAGAUAUUGGACUCCAACUCCUAUCAGCCAGCAUGGCUAAUGAUCCAGGAUAAUGAAAGUGUAGUCCAAAAACAUCUGGAAGGCCCUGAUAUCUAUAUCUCAUAGAUUCAACUACCAUAGGUACAACUACUAAGAAGUAGGGUGUAACAUUUAUUCUCACAAUCGCUACUCAUUUAAUUGUUGGUGUCAGACACAGAGCAAAAGUUAAUGCUUCUAGUUUCUAGGACUUCAGAGACAGCUACUGAAGGUGGGGCACUGAGGGAAAAGAGGAGAAUGAUGACGCAGUGAAAAAUUGCACCAAAGUUUGCUGUUGGUACAGAUAUAUGAGCAGGAACGAAUCUCUCACAUUCCUCCAAAAAUUCAUAUAUUUGGUUGCAGAUAUAUAGUUCCACGAUGUCUUUCCACUAGAACAUGGUUUCUCUAACUUUGCACAACAAACCUUCCCAAAUAAAGGGGGUAGGUGGGAAUCUUCCCCUAAGUUAGAAGAAAAAUGGCAGCAUAGCUGGUUGCUCCCAUCCUACAUUUAGGAACUGACAAAUAAAAACAAACAAUAAAAAUGUAGCAGCAGGGUGAUAGAGGGCCCCCCCUUCAAUUCCCAGUAUUAUCCAUCAAGUCAACAUCACACUCCCUGCAAGACAUACAGCAGCCAUAUUUCCCACCCAGUAGCCCUAUCAAAAACAGAAAAGAACUGGGCCUCUGGCUAUCCUAAGGUUGGCCAACUUAGGGAAGACCAUUGACACUUCUGACACACCUAACAAUGGCAUAUGACUCCAAUAGCAGCUGUACAGUGCUCCAGUGGUGUAAACAUGAUCAAGUCUAAAGUAAGUUAACCUGGGAUUUCUGGGCGAAACAGGAGAUGUGUGAUAAAGCUGUCUCUGAAAAGGAAUGGGGUUGUUUUGUUUGGGACUAAAACACAAACAGUAAUAGGACAAACCAUUUAUAUUUUUGUAAAUGUUGUGUGUGAGGGCUUUUGUUUCUCUUUCUAUCCUCUGUAUUCUCUUCCUUUAUUUUUACAGUAAUAACUUUUUUACUUUGUUCAGUAUAUAGUGAUUUGUUGUGUGUGUGUCUGUGUUUUAAAUCAAAUCAAAUGAUCAAACCCACAUGGAAUAUACUGUAGAUAGAAUUUAGUGAUUAGGAUACUACUGCUAAGGUGGCAUUUAGCAGAGUUAGCUUUUAGUUCUGGGUUUGCCAAACAUUAUGUUUACAAUUAUGUCCCUUUUUAAAAUUUAAAAAACUCCUUCUGUUAAAAAACAAAAGGUGGUCCUAUAUACCAGAAAAGAGGCAGCAGUCUCACAAGUGUCCUGAUUUUUUAUGUUUAAAUUGAGCACUCUGAAUCUAGAGGAAACGCCUUAAGCGAACUGUCACUGUUAAUCAGAUCUGUUCUAUGUAUAUGCUGAUAUCUCUGAUGAAGAGUAAUAGCUUUAACAUGCUUGAUUAUUUCAUUGAGUUGGAUAAUAUUUAAGAUUUCAAUCUUGGUUGGGUCUCUAAGAUGGCUCUAUCAUUUUAACACCAAUAAGUAUAGAUUGGUAAUCAAACACGUUGACAGAGUCGCUCGCGACUGGACUUAACUGUCAGAGGUUCUUUACCUUUUACUAGAUUGUCUAUAGUCUCUGUAGUAUCUAUUCAUGUGAGCAAUAUAAUAUCAGAGAAGACUCACUAAAACAGGGAUAGCCAACAUGGUGCCCUCCAGAUGUUGGACUGCAGCUCCCAUCGUCUUGGGCUAAUGGGAGCUGUAGUUCAACAAUAUCUGGAGGGCAACAAAUGUGAGCAGUUAAUUGUUGAGGAUCGGUAUCUGCACUGGGUUUAAAUAACCUUAAUAAAUGCCAACACUCUUUUAACAGUGGCUCAGCUGAUCAGUGGUAGAUUAUGAAAAGGGUCUUUCAUUUUUUAGGUGUCAGUCAAGGCAAUUUAUUUCAAACCAACUUCAACUUUUCAUAAACACAAAGCACAGUACCUCUGCUACACACCUUUACAAUAAAUGGCUUGAAUGAGAAGGCAUUGAUAUACAGAAUAUUAUAUUGAUUGAUUGAUAUUAUAUUGAUAUAUUGAUAUAUACAGAAUAUUAUAUUGAUAUAUUGGUAUAUCUAUUGAUAUACAGAAUAUUAUAUUAUUUCUUGGUUGCUAUUGCAUGGGAAUCAUCUAAGACAUGCAAUAACCAAAUGUUUUGGAUAAAUGGGAGUGUGACUUAGGUGCAAAGAGGGAAAGAUGACGACUUCACAGGAUAAUUAAUAUUGGAGACCUGAAUUUUAGACACUUGGCUUUUAAUUUUCCAGGAAUUUCACUGAGCGUAGAAGGCUCAAGAUUGCUUAUCACAGAAGUGUUAUCAUUAGGGUAGCUAAGGGCCAAAUGACACAAGUUGUGAUGAAUGAUGAUUGGAUCUCCCAGCAUUUCUAUUUGGGUUUUAAGAGCACACAAGUAGCUCUGAUGUUGACAGUUUAACCCUUUCACCAGUAGUAGCUGGUGCCCAUUGGGACUGGGAGGGCAGAAGGCAGGGAGAUGGGAAAAAAAGUGGAGCCAGAACCAAUGACAGAAGGACAGAACUAAUUCUAGUUUUCCUCCCUGCCUAGUUCUACAAGGGCUAAGGAGACUAAGGAGGAGGAGGAUGACAGGCAUUGGUUGUAAGUAAGAAGGCAGGGAGGGAGACUAGCUGAAGGCAGACUGAGGGGGUGGGCAGUGCCUCAUUCACCCUAAUGAACUAUCCUUCACUGUAAAUUUUACAGAUACACACACACAAGUUUCUAUUUAUUGCAUUGAGGAAACAGAGAUUCUAGUCCCCCCCCCCCCAACUGCGUAGAAAUAGCAGUUUCAGGGAGGAAAAAGAUAUGAAAAACAACUUCGGAAGAAUGGGUUUUAAAAAACUCUCCCUCAUUUCUGCAGUUCUGAUCAAAAUCAAACAAGACCUUCUGGGUUAUUCCUUUUAAAGGGCUUCAAUAUUGCAUAUAGGGAUAGGCACCCAUUCUUUAUUGUACUAAAAUACACAUUUUGAAACAUUUCCAGAAUGAUGGGAGAGGAGUGUGCUGCUCCACAGGCAAAUCGAUCAAGAUGCAGCUUCACUGCUGCACUGGUGGCCAUGUUAUGGUAGCUUGUUUCAGAUUUUGGAUUACACAAAUUAAAAUACCACAAGGUGUGGCAGAAGGCAGAACACACAUGCAAAGGGUGUGUGUGUGAACUUGUCUGUAGUAGGCAAUGACAGCUAUAAAGCACCACCUCCAAGUGUCUGAAAAGCUACUGUCCAUACAGACUUAUAGUUGUUCAAAGGGUGGAUAUUUUUUCCCCUACUCUUUCAGUGCAUGUUUACAUAUGACACUCUGAUUCCAAACAACAUUAAUGAUGGUGUGUGCAGAACUGGACAGUGAGAGUGGCUAGUCCAGAUGAAUUAAUGUGGCAAAAAAAAGAAAAAAGUGCUGAAACUCUAAGUUCCACUGGGAUUUAUAGGUUAGUUGUGAGUUUUCAUGAAGCCCAGAAGAAGAGGACCUCAUCUACCUCACACUGUCAUUUUUUGAUGCCCUCUGCUGUUAAGCCUUAUUUAAUUAUUCCCCAUGGGAUUUGCUGAGCUAAUGCUGUCCUGAUGAAGGGCCCUAUAGCGUAUUAUAGUGUCUCGAUUUUUACCUCUGGGAGUUCUAAAACAACCAGGGUCCAGUACAGCCCCAGGAUGCUCAUCUUGAUAUCGCUCAGCCUCUGGAUCUCUCCAGGACCAUGUAUUACUUAUCAGGAUUAUGCACAUAGUGGUCCAAGUUGGUACUCAAAGAUUGCCCAGCCUGCCUGACCAAACCUGUCAAUGGGGCAAGAUGAAUAUCUAAUUAUGGGGUAAUAAGUUAUCUUGUGAUUUACCUAAAGGGGACUACAGCAAGUCAUCCAUCUUGAAAAAGCAGGUUGUUGUGGGUAUAUGUGGAAAAGUGAAAUCUCACGAGUCUUUUAAACAAUGGAUACGUGGUUAGAAUUUGCAGAGAACAUGGUGGGGUUUUUGGUUUAUUUAUUUUAUUAACGUACUUAGCUCCCCCCCCCCCAAAGACUUCAUAUACUCAGCAGGAUAGUUUAGCUUUGUUUACUUAGCAGGAACAUUGCACUUCCAAACGAUUUUCUGCUGCAAACCACUUUCAAAGCUUCCAGUGCAGUUUAUUCAGCAAUCUUCUUUGAACACAUCUACCUGUGUACACCAAAGAUAUUCCUUGGCCUUAUUCUUUCCCUCCUUAGCUCCACCUCCCACCCUGAAUGGUCCAGUCUACAAAACAUUUGUUCUAAGGAUGGGAAGGUUUUGGAAUUUGAACGUCUGUUGGCAUCUGGGGCUGCCCUCCCCAUGCUUUGACUGCUAUUAAUAUCAAUGCCUGCAGAAGGAAUGUGUGUAUAUAUAUAUAUAUAUAUAUAUAUAUAUAUAUUCCGAGUGUGCGAAUAGCACCCCACAGUGGUUCCUGUGUAUGGAAGAAUCUACACAGACUGAUUGCCUACCCCUCUGAUUGCAUAUCCUGUGUUGCUUCCAGAUUCAUUCUCUCCCUUAUGUUUCUUUUGCUCCCCAGUGAAAGCAGUGAGACGUGACCCAAGAUUUCAGAAAGCCACAGUACGUUCUUAGGGGGCAGCUACAAGAUAAAAUGGUGUGGAAGGAGGAAUUAAAAACAGCAAAAUGCAUUCUGAUCAUCAAGCAUCAUCAUAUAAGG